ACUGCGAGGCAGGCAGUGAUGCUGCGGCCGCUUCGCACUGUGGCUCCUGCCGACCGCCAGGCGCUGUUACAGUGGAUGCGAACUAACCGUAAGUGUAAGUGACCAGAGCUAGAGGCAGGUGGUGGGGGCAAGGAUAUGCUGCAGGCGCUGACUUUGAGGACUUAAGCGGGGUGAAGCCAACAGCCUUCCUUGGGAUCGUUGUGCUGGUCUCUGCUGUCUUGGGGGGUAGAUUGACCAGGGCUUUGAGUGCUCUAACGGAAAAGAGAGUUAGUUGCUCGCCACACGUAGACACCAAUUAACAAGAGCGAGCCCUAGUAUACAAGAAGAGGGAUUUUAUUUCUGAAGCCAGCCCGCUUCGUCUUUGGAGCAAAAAAGCGGGCAUUUUAUAAGGUACAAGAGGAAAUGAGCAAGAGGUCUCUGCUAGCUGGUGCCUUAUCUACCGGGUAGUUGAGUUGGUGCAUUUCUGAGCAGAAAUAAGUUGUAAAAGUGGCCAAGUGGGCAUGCUUUCUGCUUACCCUUCUGAGGCGACCGCCUGGCGGUGGGAGUUGCGUCUUGGAUCUCGUAGAUGAAUUUGCUCUGUAGAGAAUGGUCUGGUGAGGGGAGUUGAGAGGUUAUUUUGCAGUUCAAAAAGGGCUAAGUGGAAAGUGUAAGGGGAAAAAAUAAACUAUCUCUUGGAAAAUGGGGGUAAUCGGAUACAGUACCACUUGGAAUUAAUUGGGUGUGGGAAACCUGGUUCUGAGUGGUUUGUGAGUUUUCAGCAGACUUCGGACAAGCCUUUAGAGCUCCUUGUGCCUAACCCUUUUUCUGAAAGAAAAUAGAGGGUUAGCCCUCCUCCCCAUUACUCCCACAAACUUGUUAGAAUUGGUACGUUGCCACCUGAAAAAGCAUUUUGCAGGAGAGGUUUUAGGCUGUAGCGUUAGUAGGAAGUGUUAAACGAAAAACCUUAGCCAAGUUAAAUUUAACAUUUUGAGCAAAGAAUGAUUCACGAAUCGGGCAGGCUCAGAGAGAUUGCAGCGCAGCCAAGUGUUGAAGAUUUAUAGACAGAAAAAGGCUGCAGUGAGCUUUGAUCCCGCUGCUUCACUCCAGCCUGAGCGACGCAAGACCCUGUCUCUUUAAACACACACGUUAAAACUGAGGAAAUGUGGUAGCUAGAUCUAGUUACUGAAAAAUGGGAUAGAUGUAUUCUGGCAAAGUAAAGCCUGAUGAAAGCUCAAGAAAAUAGGAUAUUCUUAUGUUUGUUAACUAUAGCAAACUAUCCUAUGCCUGUAUGCGAGAGUGUGUGUGUGUGUGUGUGUGUGUGUGUGUGUGUGUGUGUGUAUGUGUGUGUAUUUAUUUUUUGAGACAGAGUUUCACUCUUGUUGCCCAGGCGGGGCUGCAGUGGCGCCAUCCAGCUCACUGCAACCUCCACCUCCCUGAUUCGAGCGAUUUUGAGUGGCUGGGAUUACAGGCGUCCGCCACCACGCCCGGCUCAUUUUUGUAUUUGUAGUAGAGACGGAGUUUCACCAUGUUUCCCAGGCUGGUCCCAAACUGCUGACCUCAGGUGAUCUUCCUGCCUGGGCCUCCCAGAGUGCUGGGAUUGCAGGCGUGAGCCACCACGCCUGGCCACUAUGCCUGUAUUUUGCUGAAUGGUGAUUUCCAUGGUUAUUUUUAUCCAAGCUCAUGACUUGAAAUGUCAUUGUUAGCUGAUGACUUACAAUUUUAGAUUUUUAACCUCGACCUCUUAAAAUUCUUUGUGAUGUUAGAGUCAGUAGGUUUAGAUAUUAUAAUUAACAUUAUUACACAUUUUAGGAGUCAUUUUAGAUAAGAUGUCAAACUGAAGAUAACAGGAACAUCUGCUAGUGAGAUUUGACCUGGAAAGUAUAGAAAACCAGAUACACAGCUUUGUUUAUUUAUUUAUUUAUUGAGACGGAUUCUCAGUCUGUCGCCAGGCUGGAGUGCAGUAGCACGAUCUUAGCUCAUUGCAACCUCUGCCUUCUGGAUUCAAGUGAUUCUCCUGCCCCUGGAGUAGCUGGGAUUACAGGCACGAACCACCGCGUCCAGCUAAUUUUGGUAUUUUUAGUAGAGACGGGGUUUUACUAUGUUGGCUAGGCUGGUCUUGAACUCCUGACCUCGUGAUCUGCCCUCCUCGUCCUCCCAAAGUGCUGGAUUACUGGCAUGAGCCACCGCACCCAGCCGGAUACAGCUUUAUUUCUAUAUACACAAAAUCAAGAUAAUAAUUUCCAUAAUAUGCUGAGUCUCCUGUCACUUCAUCUAAACCCUAUGUUGCACAUUUCUUUUUUGUUUUUGUUUUUGUUUUUGAGACGGAGUCUCGCUCUGUCCCCCAGGCUGGAGUGCAGUGGCGCAAUCUUGGCUCACUGCAAGCUCCGCCUCCCGGGUUCACGCCAUUCUCCUGCCUCAGCCUCCCGAGUAGCUGGGACUACAGGCGCCCGCCACCACGCCCGGCUAAUUUUUUGUAUUUUUAGUAGAGAGGGGGUUUCACCGUGUUGGCCAGGAUGGUCUGGAUCUGCUGACCUCGUGAUCUGCCCGCCUCCGCCUUCCAAAGUGCUGGGAUUACAGGCGUGAGCCACCGUGCUCGGCCGCACAUUUCAUUCUUCAUAUCCCAUUUGUCAAUAAAACAGCACCGAUUUACAUCUUUUUUUUCACAUUCCUCAGCACAAGGUCAUUUAUUCUAAAAGCACUGAGUGCCUAGAAAGAUGUCACAUACUGCCUAGAGCUGGCAAUUGUAAAAUUACUAAAACAUCUUUGCCCUCAAGAUUUGUUUUGUGGAGCCAUUUGCAAUCUAAAUUUUGAUUUUUUUUUUCCUGUGUUUUGUUUGUUUUUGAGAUAGGGUCUUUGUCACCCAGGCUGGAGUGCAGUGGCACCAUCAUAGCUCACUACAGCCUCACACUCUUGGCCUCAAGGGAUCCUCCCACCUCAACCUCCUAAAGUGUUCAAAUUACAGGCAUGAGCCACUGUACCCAGCCUCAAAUUUUAGAGAUAUCAGUUGAGACUCUAUUUUUCAAAAUCAGGAAGACUUGAAAGAACGUUUUGGAUAAUUUUGUAAACAAGAGCCAAUAUCACUGGCUAAAGAAUAUAUUUUUACUUUUUUUUUUUUUUUUUGAGUCAGAGUCUUGCUGUCGCCCAGGCUGGAGUGCAAUGGCACGAUCUUGGCUCACCGCAACCUCCGCUUCCUGGGUUCAAGCGAUUCUCCUGCCUCAGCCUCCUGAGUAGCUGAAACUACAGGCACGUGCCACCACGCCUGGCUAAUUUUUUUGUAUUUUUAGUGGAGACGGGGUUUCACCGUGUUAGCCAGGAUGGUCUCAAUCUCCUGACCUCGUGAUCUGCCCGCCUCGGUCUUCCGAAGUGCUGGGAUUACAAGCGUGAGCCACCGCGCUCGGCCCUAUUUUUACUUUUUUUAAAGGUACUUUUUGUUGUUUUUAAAGAAAGGGUCUCACUCUGUCACCCAGGCUGGAGGCUGGUGUGCCGUGACACUGUUAUAGCCCACUGCAGCUUUGACCUCCUGGGCUCAAGCAGUCCUCCUACCUCAGCAUCCUGAGUACCUGAGUAGCUGGACUAUGGUGCAAACCACCACACCCAGCUUUUUUAAAUUUCCUGUAGAGACAGUGUCUCACUAUGUUGCCCAGGCUGGUCUCAAACUCCUGGCCUCAAGAGAUACUCCCACCUUGGCUUCCCAAAGUGCUGGGAUUACAGGUGUGAGCCAUCGUACCUGAUCUAAAGGUACUUCUUGUGCCUCUCUUCAGCAGAUCCUGUAGUGAGGAAGCUCAAGCAAUUUGUUAAACAAUUUAAAAAAUAACUUGAGUUUCUGAAGAAUGUUUAUUAACCCGAAUAUUUUAAGAAGUGAGGCCGGGCAUGUGGCCCACUCCUGUAAUCGUAGCACUUUGGGAGGCCGAGGUAGGUGAAUUGCCUAAGCUCAGGAAUGUGAGACCAGCCUGGGCAACAUAGUGAGAACCUGUCUCAAAAAAAAAAAAAAAUUAAAAAUUAAAAAAAAUUUUAAGAAGUGAGAGUAUCACUGAACUUAAAAUAAAGGAGUAUGGUUAUUUAUAAUCCUUAAAAAAAGUAGUGUAUUAGUAUACCUUCUUUAUUGUGGUAAAAUAUGUAUAAAAUAAAAUUUACCAUUUUGACCUUUUUUUUUUUCCUUCAGACAGAGUCUUGCUCUUUGCCCAGGCUAGAGUGCAAUGGCACAAUCUCGGCUCACUGCAACCUCUGCCUCCCAGGUUCAAGCGAUUCUCCUGCCUCAACCUUCUGAGUAGCUGGGAUUACAGGCGUGCACCACACCUGGCUAAUUUUUGUAUUUUUAGUAGAGAUGGGGUUUCACCAUGUUGGCCAAGCUGGUCUCGAGCACCUGACCUCGUGAUCUGCCCACCUCAGCCUCCCAAAGUGCUGGGAUUACAGGCGUGAGCCACCACGGCCAGACCAUUUUGACCAUUUUUUACUGUAUAGUUAAGUGGCAUUAAAUAUGUUCACGUUGUUUUGUAAAUAUCACUAUUAAUCUCCAGAACUCUUGUCUUCCCAAACUGAAACUCUUAGUAUACCUUUUUAUGAAGUGGUCUAAGUACAGCACAAAAUAUUCUUCUAAACAACCAUUUUUCAUUUUCCUAAUUAGAUUUCCUUUUGCCUGGGGAAAUUUGUUUUUUUUUUUUUUUUUUUUUUGAGACGGAGUCUCGCUCUGUUGCCCAGGCUGGAGUGCAGCCUCCUGAGUAGCUGGGAUUACUGGCACAUGCCACCAAGUCCGGCUGAUUUUUAUAUUUUUAGUAGAAGUGGGGUUUCACCAUGUUGGCCAGGCUGGUCUCGAAUUCCUGACCUCAGGUGAUACGCCCAUCUCGGCCUCCCAAAGUGCUGGGAUUACAGGCCUGAGCCACUGUGCCUGGCCUCUCCUAUAAUUUUUAAAUAAAUUUUUAAACCUCUGGCAUUAAGUCAUUUAAAUAAUGUCUUGCAUGACAUUUGCCUAGACUUUUAAUUUAAAUUAUAACUCUUCUUGAAUUUUUAUACCAUUUGAUGGAAUAACAAAAGACAACGCUAGAUGUUGAGUAUGGCUUUGGUUUUGAGUUUCAUAAGAGUUUAUUAAAACUAGACAACAUGGCUGUGUGCAGUGGCUCACGCCUGUAAUCCUGGCACUUUGGGAGGCAAGGCAGGCAGAUCACCUGAGGUCAGGAGUUUGAGACCAGCCUGGCCAACAUGGUGAAACCCUGUCUCUACUAAAAAUACAAAAACAAAAAAUUAGCCAGGCAUGAUGGUGUGCACCUGUAGUCCCAGCUACUCGGGAGGCUGAGGCAAGAGAAUUGCUUGAACCCAGGAGGCUGAGGUUGCAGUGAGCCAAGAUUGCGCCACUGCACUCCAGCCUGGGCAACAGAGUGAGACGCCAUCUCAAAAAAAAAAAGGAAAAAAGAAACAUAAAACAAAGGUGGGAGCCUAGAUGUUUCUUUGUACAGCUUAGGCUAGGAAAUAAUGAGCACUAGUGUCAGACAGGUAAACCAAGUCUGAGGGGCAAUGCAGGCAAAAACAAGUUCCUCUCCCCCCAAAAAAAGAUAAAAAGCAGUUAAAAUACAGCAGUACUGGAACUCAUUGAUUCUGAUCCUCUGGCAGAGUAUCUUUUCCCUACUAUUUUCCUGAUGUGUAUGAAGUGGGCUCUUGACCUAGAUUUCAAAGUGUAGGAGACUGAUUGCAAUCCAUUAAGUGAGGGGAGUUGAGAACCAGAUCUGCAAAUGGGGUCCCCAAUAGGGCAAAUAGAAAAGAUACAAUGCAACAGCAGUCUAUUAACAAAUUCUACUCUGAAGGCUCUCAGUAUUUCCUGAAUAUGCAAAAUAGAAAUAAAUGAGGACAUUAAACCAAUAACUCAUACAAAGUCUCUCCUUUUCUUUUUUUUUUUUUUUUUUUUUUUUGAGAUGGAGUCUUACUCUGUCACCCAGGCUGGAGUGCAGUGGCGCGAUCUCAGCUCACUGCAAGCUCCACCUCCUGGGUUCACACCAUUCUCCUGCCUCAGCCUCCUGAGUAGCUGGGACUACAGGCGCCUGCCACCACACCCGGCUAAUUUUUUUGUAUUUUUUUAGUAGAGACGGUGUUUCACCGUGUUAGCCAGGAUGGUCUUGAUCUCCUGACCUGCUGAUCCGCCCCGCUCGGCCUCCCAAAGUGCUGGGAUUACAGGUGUGGGCCACCGUGUCUGGCCCAUGCCUGGCUAAUUUUUGUAUUUUUAGUAGAGACAGGGUUUCACCAUGUUGGUUGAUCUCCAGCUCCUGACCUCAGAUGAUCCGCUCACCUUGGCCUCCCAAAGUGCUGGGAUUACAGGCAUGAGCCACCGUGCUGGGCCUCUUCUUUUAGACAGUCUCGCUGUGUCACCCAGGCUGGAGUGCAGUGGUGUGAACACAGGGCUCACUGCAGCCUCAACUUCCCAAGUUCAAGUGAGCCUCCUCCCUCAGCCCAAGUAGCUGGGAUUAUAGGUGCGUGCCAUCAUACUUGGCCAAUUGUUGCAUUUUUUGGUAGUGACAGGGUUUCACCAUGUUGCCCAGGGUGAUCUCAUACUCCUGAGCUCAAUUAUUUCACCAACCUCAGCCUCCCAAAGCACUGGGAUUGCAGGUGUGAGCCACUGCGCCCAACUGCUCAUACAGUUUCUAUUAAGGAUCAAGGUACAGAGGGUAGAAAAUUAAGGUUUGCAGGAAGGAAAUUAACCAGAUAGUCAAGAAAUAUUUAAAUGCUUAAAAUAACAAGAGGUGACUAGACACUUACAGGAGAUUCUCUGUAUCCUUUGUUGUAAACACCUCAAUUGAACAUGUUGCUGAGCAGUAGCUACAGAGCUUUUAUAGGUUCUACUAAAUGAAUAUAAUUGUACUUUUCUCUCAAUCGCAUUUGUUGUCUAUUAAAAAUGGCCAGGAUAUGUGAAAAGAAUAAUACAUCAUGGGCUAGUGGGUUUAUCUCAGGAAUGUCCUGUUGGUUUAACAUUAGAAAAUCAAUGUAAUUCACCAAAUUUGCUAAAACAUACAUACAAUCAUACAUCAUGUAACAACAGGGACAGAUUCUGAGAAAUGCACUGUUAGGCCAUUUCAUUGUUGUGCGAGCAUCAUGGAAUGUACAGUACUUACUCAAACCUAGAUUGUAUAGCCUGUUGCACCUUCUACAAACCUGUACAGCAUGUUCCUGUAGCAACUGUAGGCAGUUGUAACACUAUGGUUAGUAUAUGUGUAUCUAAACAUAGAAAAGGUACAGUAAAAAUAUGACAUUGUAAUCUUAUGGGACCACCAUGGUGUGUGCAGUCUGUCAUUGAUGGAAGUGUCAUUAUGUAGUACGUGACCGUAUUUCAGAAUUGUUAAGAGAGUGGGUUUUGGCCAGGCGCGGUGGCUCAAGCCUUUAAUCCCAGCACUUUGGGAGGCUGAGAUGGGCGGAUCACCUGAGGUCAGUUCAAGACCAGCCUGACCAACAUGGAGAAACCCCAUCUCUACUAAAAAUACAAAAAAUUAGCCGGACGUGGUGGCACAUGCCUGUAAUCCCAGCUACUCAGGAGGCUGAGGCAGGAGAAUUGCUUGAACCUGAGAGGCGGAGGUUGUGGUGAGCUGAGAUGAUGCCAUUACACUCCAGCCUGGGCAAUGAGAGCGAAACUCUGCCUCAAAAAAAAAAAAAAAAAAAAGAGGGUGGGUUUUAAAUGUUCUCGACGCAGAGAAAUAAUAAAUUUGGCCAGGUGCAGUGGCUCAUGCCUGUAAUCUCAGCACUUUGGGAGGCUGAGGCAGACAGAUCACCUGAGGUCGGGAGUUCGAGACCAGCAUGGAGAAACCCCAUCUCUACUAAAAAAAAAAUACAAAAUUAGCCAGACGUGGUGGCGCAUGCCUGUAAUCCCAGCUACUCAGGAGGCUGAAACAGAAGAAUCGCUUGAACCCGGAAGGUGGAGGUUGCGGCAAGCCGAGAUCACGCCAAUGCACUCCAGCCUGGGCAACAAGAGCAAAACUCCCUCCCAAGAAAAACAAAGAAAUAAUAAAUAUGUGGUGAUGAAUAUGUUAGCCCGAUUUGAUCAUUCUACAAUGUAUACAUUCUACCCCAUAAAUAUAUACAAUUAUUAUUUGUCAAUUAAAAAUAAAAUUUUAAGAAAAUGGCUGAGUAGACUUGUGAUAUGGAGGGCCUUAAAAAUCUCAAGAUUUGAUACACUGAAAAAUAGAAGAUCAUUAAAAGUUUGUAAGGAGAGGGAGUGAUAUAAAAGUGAGGUUUAAGCGAGAUUCGUUUAGGUGAACAAGGUAUUUUAUAGUGGGGAGAAGCUGAUAUUGAGGAACUGGUUAUGAGUUUGUAAUGGUAUUCAGAGUGUGAGAUGAUGACUAUGGCUAUGAGAUAGUUGAAUUGAGAAUGAAGGGAAAAUAGGUUUCAAAAGAAAAAGUGGUGGGACUGAAUACCUGACUAGAUACAAAAAGUGAGGUUUGAUUCAUAGGCUGUCAGCUUUGGGGACUUUUCUUUCCUCAUAUAAUUAAUUAGAUGUAAGUAGGAAAUUUUAAAGAAUUGAUUUUGCCCUUUAGAGAAGCUCUUCUUUCUCCAUUCCCUUCCCCUCUACAUAUGUAAUUUGAGGAAAGCUCUACUCUCCUUUAGGCAGCUGAUUAGCACCUUCCUUUAAUCUUUUUCCAAGCAACGUAGUAUUACCACACAUUUGCUGUUUAUGUGUUAAGAGAUGUUCCACCUCACUAGUAAUUAAAUAAAUGCAAAUUAACCAGGUUUUUUAGUUUUUUUAUUUUUUCAGGUAGGAUCUCACUCUGGUUGCCCAGGCUGGAGUGCAAUCGUGUGAUCACGGCUCGCUGCAGCCUUGACCUCCCAGGCUCAGGUGAUCCUCCCACCUCAGCCUCCCAGGUAGCUGGGACUAUAGGCAUACACCACCAUGCCCAGCUACUUUUUAAUUUUUUUUGUAGAGAUGGGGUUUCACCAUGUUGCCCAGGCUGGUCUCAAACCCCUGGACUCAAGCGAUCUGCCUGCCUUGGCCUCCCAAAGUGCUGGGAUUACAGGUGUGAGCCACCGUACCCUGCCCAAGUUUGUUUUUAUGGUAAUAUUCAGUGUUGUGAGGGUUUGAUGAGACUUGUGUUCUUUUUUUUUAUUUUAUUUUUUAUUUUUUGAGAGGGAGUCUCAUGCCCAGGCUGGAGUGCAGUGGAGCCAUCUCGGCUCGCUGCAACCUCCACCUCCCGGGUUCAAGGAAUUCUUCUGCCUCAUCCUCCCAAGUAACUAAGAUUACAGGCAUGUACCACCAUGUCCAGCUAAUUUUUGUAAUUUAGUAGAGACAGGAUUUUACCAUGUUGGCCAGACUGGUCUCGAACUCCUGACCUCAAGUGCUCUGCCUGCCUCAGCCUCCCAAAGUGCUGGGAUUACAGGCGUGAGCCACCACGCCCAGCCAGAGACUCGUGUUCUUUUUUAUUUCUGUUAAACUGAUGUCCUUCAAGAAAGAAAGAAAUGUGCAAAUGUGUAGGAAAAGCCUUUUCAAUGUUGAAGCACUUCUAAGAAUUUAUAGUAAGGAAAUAAUCAGAGAUGCAAAGAGAUGAUGUUUGUCAAAAUGUUUGUUGCAGUAUUCUCAGUUUUACACAAUUAUAACUAUAUUUAACUGUCUCAGGGUAGCAGUGAAUGGUUAAAUAGAGACUACACAGCCUUCAAAAGUAAAGUUUCCACUAAUUUUAAUUUUAAUGACAUAGCGUAAAUGCUUAGGAUAUGCAGUGGGUUCUCCAUGUCCACAGAUUGUACAUUUGUACAUUGAUCCAGCAGAGAAUUGAAAGUAUUUCAAAAAUAAUAAUAUACUAUUUUUAGAAAUAGAGCAUAACAACUUUUUUUUGAGAUGGAGUUUUGCUCUUGUCGCCCAGGCUGGAGUGCAGUGGCACAAAUCUCGGCUCACUGCAACCUCUGCCUCCCGGGUUCUAGCGAUUCUCCUGCCUCAGCUUCCCAAGUAGCUGGGACUACAGGUGCCUGCCACCACACCUGGCUAGUUUUUGUAUUUUUUUAGUAGAGACGGAGUUUCACCAUGUUGGCCAGGCUGGUCUCGAGCUCCUAAUCUCGGGUGAUCCACCCGCCUCGGCCUCCCAAAGUCCUAGGAUUACAGGCAUGAGCCACUGUACCUGGCUGCAUGUCUGCUACUCUUGAAUUGACAUCGCUACUUAUGUAUCUAAAAUGGCAGGGUAUAGAUGGUGCCACUAGUCUCUCAUCAGGAUACUUUCCAUUAAGGUUAGUGGAACUGCGCAACCAUUCAUAGCUCAGAUUCAUCAGUCACAAAAGAACCCCAGAAGAUGAUGGUGUUCAUAAAAAACAAUUUUCUUUAGUAUUUUGGUUCUGCUUUAAUCUUAAUCCCUAGGGUAAUAGAUGAGAUACUCAAGUUCAGAGAGGUGUGGAAGUCAUUUGACAGAGCAGUCGGGCCCGAGUGGUUUCCUUAUGCCAAGGCAGCACGUCAUCCUUUUUCCUCAAAAAUAACAGCAACAACAUUCCUGCACCUUGCCUCUGCAGCAUUAUAUCGUACUGCAGAAACCAGCUCAACUAUGCAAAACUACCACCAGGACUGGCCGACACCAGGAGGGAUUCCAGAGACCACACUGCAGGGAGCAUACAGAAAGAAAAUUAAGAGAUCAGAUGCAGCAGCAGCCGGAACCCACAGUUCACCUUGGUGCAUUCCUUUAUGAUGAAGACUUAUUGAUUCAUUAUAUGAGAAAGGAAAAAUGAGCAGAAACUACUGUAUGAUGUGCAGCUCACACCAGACAGCAACUUUAGGUAGGCACUUAGGUAUGCAAAUCUGAUGACUUUAUGUGUAUUUUUUCUUACAUGUCAUGAGUAUGCAAAGUUUGGACUAAGCUAUUCAAUGUUUUCUGAAAGCAAAAGGCCAACCUGUGGCAUGGUUAUUACCAAAUACUGCAGUUAGGGAGAGUAAACGAAUAUUAUCUCAGGAGAAUAGGUCACUUAAUGUCCCCCAGGAUAUAUUUAGAAACUUUGUUUUGUUUUGUUUUGUUUUUUGAAACGGAGUCUUGCUUUAUCGCCCAGGCUGGAGUGCAGUGGCACGAUCUCAGCUCACUGCAGCCUCUGUCUCCUGGGUUCAAGCAAUUGUGCCUCAGCCUCCCAAGUAGCUGGGAUUACAGGCACCCGCCACCACACCUAGCUAAUUUUUUUGUAUUUUUGGUUGAGACGGGGUUUCACCAUGUUGGCCAGGCUGGUCUCGAACUCCUGACCUCAAGUGAUCCGCCUGCCUCAGCAUCCCAAAGUGCUGGGAUUACAGGCAUGAGCUACCAUGCCCAGCUUAGAAACUGUUUUUCACAGUUUUUUUUCCCUAGUCAAGUAAGGCAGUGAGAUGUUUUUCACAUCUAGAAACUAUGUAAUCAGAGGCAACUCUGCAGGUUCAGAAACUAAACAGAGGUGACAAUACAAAGGAACUGACUCAUACUCUACAUAUUGAACAGAGAUUGGUAAACUAUACACUGAUUGAUUUACAAUGAGAACUAUAAUUUCCAAGGAGGCUGAAAUGUUCUCCCCAUAAAAACAUCUACUUGAGCUGGGCAUGGUGGUGUGUACCUGUAGUCCCAGCUACUUGGGAGGCUGAGGUGGAAGGAUUGCUUAAAACCAGGAGUUCAGGGCUGCAGUGCAGUAUGAUUGGGCCUGUGUAUAGCCACUGCACUCCAGCCUGGACAACAGGAGACCCAGUCACUUAAAAGAAAAACAUCUGGCUGGGCACAGUGGCUCAGGCCUGUAAUCCCAGCACUUGGGAGGCCGAGAUGGGUGGAUCUCUUCAGCCCAGGAGCUCGAGACCAGCCUGACCAACAUGGCAAAACCCCGUCUGUACUAAAAAUACAGAAAAUAGCAGGGUGUGGUGGCGCACACCUGUAAUCCCAGCUACUCAUGAGGCUGAGGCAUGAGAAUCGCUUGAACCCAGGAGGUGGAGGGUGCAGUGAGCUGAGAUCGCACCACUGCACUCCAGCCUGGGUGACAGAGCAAGACUGUCUAAAAAAAAAAAAAUCUCCUUAAGAAAUCAGAUAGUGAUGAGAUAUUAUUGGGCAGGCAUGGACGCAGAAGACAGAGAUAGAUAAUCUUGAGAAAUCGUUCAUUCAGGCUAUAAUUUGACCCAGUGAAGCAUCCCAAUCCAUAUUAGAGAACUUCUCCAGUGACAGAAAGCCUUCUGUCUUUGUUCAGGCUGGGUAGAUUUGUCUAGUCAUGUUGCUUUAGACAUGUAUUUCCCUGCUCACUUACAUUUAGGAUUAUUACAUAGAGUGGGCUACCCCUCUGGGUAAAUAAUCUUGUGGCUUAUAUUACUGAUCUUAGAUGAUAUCAUUAUCAAAGAUUAAAUACCAAAUUUGGAAUAUGUUGCUAAACAGAUAUAUUGUAUCUGUAUUAUAAUUUGAGAUUAAACUUCUCUGAUUUAUUAGUUUAAGAUCCUAUUUCUCAGGCCGGGCGCGGUGGCUCAAGCCUGUAAUCCCAGCACUUUGGGAGGCCGAGGCGGGUGGAUCACGAGGUCAGGAGAUCGAGACCAUCCUGGCUAACACGGUGAAACCCCGUCUCUACUAAAAAUAUAAAAAAUUAGCUGGGCAUGGUGGUGGGUGCCUGUAGUCCCAGCUGCUCGGGAGGCUGAGGCAGGAGAGUGGCAUGAACCCGGGAGGCGGAGGUUGCAGUGAGCCAAGAUCACACCACUGCACUGCAGCCUGGGCGACACAGCAAGACUCCGUCUCAAAAAAAAAAAAGAUCCUAUUUCUCAAUAAUACUUCUAGUUUCCAUUUGAGGUAGUUAAAAUUCACAGAACGAAAAGGAUUUGGACAAUAAUAGAAGAAACACUAAAAAGUUAUUAAUAACUUUGGGAGGCUGAGGUAGGUGGAUCACCUGAGGUCAGUAGUUUGAGACCAGCCUGGCCAAAAUGGCAAGACCCCAUCUCUAAUAAAAAUACAAAAAUUAGCCGGGUGUGGUGUGGCACACGCCUGUAGUCCCAGCUACAUGGGAGGCUAAGGUGGGAAGAUUGCUUGAACGUGGGAGGCGGAGGUUGCAGUGAGCCAAGAUCUUGCCACUGGCGCUCCAUUCUGGGCAACAAAGUGAGAUAACAAAGUGAGACAUCUCAGAAAAAAAGUUAAUAACUGUUAACAUCCUGUUAAAAAUAUUUAUAGAAGAGCUAUGUCUGACAGAUAAAAAUUCGAAGAUUAGGAUGUGUCUUCCCGUAAAAAUCUUAUUUUUAAUUACUGGGUAAACAGGCCAGCCUCCCCAUUGUAGAGAACUAUAAUGAAUCUGAAACAGUUAUCACCAUAAGGGACUUUCCCCCUCUCUGUCACAAGGGGCAUGUCUAGCUACAAGACUGUAGUGGUGACUCUGUAACCCAAAGAAGCACUAGUGUGGCAAAGAGGAUAGAGAAGAUGAGGAUCCUAGGGAGAUAACGACUACACUGCUUACAGCCCAACCCCCAAGAAUGACUCCAGAGGCCUAGUUACACCUUUUAUUCUCUUCUAAGGGAUAGGCCUACCUGCUUCUGUUUUACUUUUCACCCUCUGUUACUUAGGACCAAGGUUUCUCCCCUUCCUGAUCAUUAUUACAUAGAACAUAAGAUAAGUCUUUGGGUUACCUACAUAUCAGAAGAAAACCAGACUCAGGCUAUCUCAGAUAUUUCAUGACAGAAACUAGGAUGAGAAGAUAGAUUACCAGGCUAGAAAUGGUGGCAGUUAAACUAAGUGGGAUAAAAGCAAUUUAUGGGUGUAUGUGAAUCUUUCACACCACUCCUCUCUUGCCCUCCAGAAUCUAUUCCAGGUUGAUGAGGGCUGCCACUCUGUAUAGCUCCAGAGCCAGUCAUACAUUUCGUAGUCUACAGUCUAUGCAGCAAUACAUAGUACUUCUGUGGUUAGUUCUGGUGUAAGGUGAGAAAGCCGGAUGGUAUGGAAGUUAUGACGCUGUCCCAGGCACAACAGGCCAUAGGAAGUAGAGAAAGGAAAAAAACCCAGGACUCUAAAGCAGCAGCAAGAAGGAAAUGAGGGGCACAGGAAUAGAGACGGUCUUCUAAGUAGUUGUUCCCUAAAGGCCUCUUAAAUGUCAGACUUAAUAUUUGUUCUAAGUCAGAGUGGAUGAGUAAAAAAUUAUCACACGAAUUUUUUCCAAAUAACUUCUGGAUGAUUUUCAUUGAUUAAGGAACAAAAACAUGAAAUAUACUUUACAGAUGAAAUAUAGAUGAAAGAAUUAGAAGUCCAGAAUGCAAUUACUUAUACCCAAGCAAAAUUUGAUGUUCACUCUUCUAAUUCUCUGGGAUUUAUUUCUCAUUACUUCUCUCUCAUGGAAAUGAAAUUCAUUUAUCAUCAUGUACUCUCUGACAUAUCAGGAAAGGUGUUGGUUGACAUCAGCUCCAGGCCUAGCAUAGUCCUUUAUGGGGUACUGUCCAGCUUGCAGACAUCAACAUUUGGAAAGCAUUUUCUUCUGCUAGCAACAGCUUUGCCUGUCACCAUCCAAGGUGACAGUGUGGCUUUAUUUAUUAAAGUAAAAGAAUAAUAAGUUAUGACAUAGGUAGACACUUAUAUUCUAGUUUAUGAUGACAAUGGAAUUUGGGAUUUCAAAGACCACGUGUCUGAUUUCCUUUACUACUUUGUCUCUGCAAUGCAAAUUAAGGAAUAUCAACAAAACAGAAGUGUAUGACUCUUUCUUGUAACACUUUGCUAUUUUAUCAGUCACUACUGCCUUCUAACCCCUUUUUUUGGUACUGUACCGAAAUAGUAUGUUGAACUUUGAUAAGAGCUUUUAUAAAGCUGACAAAUUUACUUGACCUAGGAUAUUACUGUAUGGCCAUAAGCAAACCACUUAACACCUCUAGGCCUCUAGUUCCUCAUUUUAAAUGAGCAAACUAAAUGCUAUCCAAGGACACAUCUUGCUCCAGUUUUUUGUGAUCCUAAGUUUGAAUGCUUGUUUCUAAAACAUCACUUCAGUGUGGGUUUUUUAAAAUUAAAUCAUGAGUGUUUAUUUCUUAUGAUCUUAAAUGGUUUUACCAAAAUCUGAAAUAGGAUUUCUGGUUGUCAUUAGUAGAUUUAUUAAAACAUGUGGCCGACUGGGCAUGGUGGCUCAUGCCUGUAAUCCCAGCACUUUGGGAGGCCAAGGCUGGAGGAUCACUUGAGCCCAGGAAUUCGAGACCAACCUGGGCAACAUGGUGAAACUCGGUCUCUCCAAAACAAUACAAAAAUUAGCCAGGCAUGGUGGUGUGCACUCCUCUUCCCAGCUAUUUGGGAGGCUGAGUUCAGAGGAUCACCUGAGCCUAGGGAAGAUGAGAGUGCAGUGAGCUGUGAUUAUGCUACUGCAUUCCAGCCUAGGCAGCAGAGUGACACCCUGUCUCAAAAAAUAAAGGAAACCCAUCUUUAAAAAUAUAACUAUUUUAGAUAAUGGGAAUUAAUAAACUAUAAUCAAGGCUCUGAUCAGUAAGAGCCUUUUUCAGUUCAGGAAGUUGUAAGUUUUACAUAAACUACAAGAUAUUACUUUCAUUUUAUUUUUACUUUAUCAAAUUAUUUUUAUUUAUAUGUUUUGAGACAGAGUCUCACUCCGUUGCCCAGGCUGGAGUUCAGUGGCGUGAUUUUGGCUCACUGAAACCACUGCAUCCCGGAUUCAAGCAAUUCUCUUGCCUCAGCCUCCCGAGUAGUGGAGACUGCAGGUGCCCACCACCACGCCUGGCUAAUUUUUUGAAUUUUUAAUAGAGUCGGGGUUUCGCCACCUUUGCCAGGCUGGUCUGGAAUUCCUGACCUCAGGUGAUCCACCUGCCUUGGCCUCCCAAAGUGCUGGGAUUACAGGUGUGAGCCACCAUGCCUGGCCAAACUAUAUUUUUUAAAGCUUGAUUUUUAAAAUUUCAAGUAGAAAUAAAUCCAUGGGUAAGAGUUCAUUCAUUUGCAUCAUAGCGUAUCUUCCUAUUUUAGGGUUAUCUUUCCAGUUCAGCAGUGCAACUCUAUGGAGUAGAAUUGAAAGGAGACUUUUCGCCAAUUGCAGGAAAUGGUCAUAAAAAAAUACCUGCUCACUGACAGAAUAAAGGUACCUUUUAACUUAGUCAAAUCUCUUUUGCAUUGUUUUCCAAUCUGUUCUUGGUUGCCAUUGUAUAGAAACAGAUUGAAUUCUCUUAAAUAUUUUAAAACAUUAAUAGAGAUGAAUUGUUGUAAUUAUAUCCUAUUCACAUAUUUCUCUCUUCCCUGAUUUUAUUGGAAAGUAAAAUUUUUUGAAUUGUCUUCCUACCAGAUACAGUUUUGGUAGCAGCAUUUUUGAAUCUCUAGAGGUUGGUUAGAAGUGUAUUUAAUUAAUCUGUGAAUGUCAAAAAUACAUAAAGGCCUAAGUAAUGCUCACAAUACCUCUUUUUCAGCAGGUAUCGUGUAUGCCACAGAAUAGCAGUUCAUGGGGGAAUGAUGCCAUAGGUUAGGCUACAACAGAGGUUUUCUAUUUUUCCCGUACUUAAGAAGAAAAAUAACAAAAAAGGAGAAAGGAAUUUUUUUGGUUAAUGCAGUAAUCUUUAUCAUUUCACUAAUAGUUCUGUACUUCUGAUGGCAAUGCAGAGAAAUACCGAGUAUCUCUGAUGUUAAGUGCAAUCUAAUGUGGAAAGAUGUACCUCAGUAAGAUUAAGGAUGUAGUCUUCCACCACCCCGCCCCCUUUUUUUUUUUUUUUUUGAGAUAGAGUUUCGCUCUGUCGCCCAGGCUGGAGUGCAGUGGCCCAAUCUUGGCUCACUGCAACCUCCACCUCCUCGGUUCAAGUGAUUCUCCUGCCUCAGCCUCCCGAGUAGCUGGAACUACAGGAGCCCACCACCAUGCCCGGCUAGUUUUUUGUAUUUUUAGUAGAGACGGAGUUUCACUGUGUUAGCUAGGAUGGCCUCGAUCUCCUGACCUCGUGAUCCGCCCGCCUCGGCCUCCCAAAGUGCUGGGAUUACAGGCGUGAGCCACCGCACCCGGCCUCCCCUUUUUUACAGAAGAAAAUUAUUUCAUUCCCUCCUCUUUCCCACCUCUCUCUCUCCCUGACUUGCUCAUAUUAGAGAUAGAGGCAAAUGAUCAGAGUAAAUUCGUUGUCCAAUAGUAAGUUCAUGGUAUUUUCUCACUAUCCCAUAUGUAGUGAACAAUAAUACCUUGCUCUUGCACAAGAAUCACAUAACUAAUAGAAUCAAUAUAAUUGAAAAUUGAUAUUUAAAAAUUAUGAACUCUUAAAAAUCAUGGUUUAUAAAUGGAUAACCAAGUAAUUUUUGUUGGUUUCUUUUUAAAGAAGAUAAUAAAGGUGUACAAAAUACAUAUUUACUUACUUUUUUUUUUUUUUUUUGAGAUGGAGUGUCACUCUGUCACCCUGACUAGAGUGCAGUGGCACGAUCUCGGCUCACUGAAACCUCCACCUUCCAGGUUCAAGCGAUUCUUCUGCCUCAGCCUGCUGAGCAGCUGGGACUACAGGCAAGCACCGCCACGCCCAGAUCUUUUUUGUGUUUUUAGUAUAGACAGGGUUUCACCAUAUUGGCCAGGCUGAUCUCGAACUCCUGACCUCGUGAUCCGCCCACCUUGGCCUCCCAAAGUUCUGGGAUUACAGGCGUGAGCCACUGCCCCCAGCCUUACUUACAUUUUUAAAGAUGUUUUUUACCCCUUUUCAAAGGAAAAUAUGCAGACACACCCAUCCACAUACUUUCCUGGCUUGUAGCUUCUGUGGCCAUCAGCAACCCGAUAAAAACUUUUUGGCCAGGUGCAAUGCCUCAUGCCUAUAAUUCCAGCACCUUAGCAGGCCAAGGUGGGAGGAUUGCUUGAGGCCAGGAGUUCAAUACCAGCCUGAGAAACUAUCUCUCCCCCACAAAAAAAAAAAAAAAAAAAAAAAUUAGCCAAGUAUGGUGGCACACACCAGUAAGUCCCGGCUACCUGGGAGGCUGAGGCAGGACUCCUUUAGCCCAGCAGUUUGAGGCUUCAUUGAGCUACAGUCAUGCCACUGCAGCCCAGCCUGGAUAACAGCUAGACUUUGUCUUUUAAAAAAAUAAAAACUCUGAGGCUGGCCUGGUGGCUUACACCUGUAAUUCCAGCACUUUGGGAGACCAAGGCGGGCAGAUCACCUGAUGUCAGGAGUUUGAGACCAGCCUGGCCAAUGUGGCAAAACCCCGUCUCUACUAAAAAUACAAAAAUUAGUCAGGUGUGGUGGCGCCUGCCCUGUAAUCCCAGCUACUUGGGAGACAGAAGCAGGAGAAUUGCUUGAACCCGAGGAGCGGAGGUUGCAGUGAGCUGAGAUCAUGCCACUGCACUCCAGCCUGAGCAACACAGCAAGACUCUGUCUCAAAUAAAUAAAUAGAUAAAACUUUUUUUAUACCUUUUUUUUUUUUUUUUGAGACAGGGUCCCUCCCUGGGCUCAGACGAUCCUCCCACCUUAGCCUCCCAAGUAGCUGGGACUACGGGUGUGCUCCACCAACCUGGCUAAUUUUUGUGUUUUUUUUGGUAGAAACAGGGUUUCACCACAUUGCCCAGGAUGGUCUUGAAAUCCUGAGCUCAAGCGAUCUGCCCACCUUAGCCUCCCAAAGUGCUAGGAUUACAGGCCUCAGUCACUGCACCUGGUUUUUUGGUUUUUUUGUUUUGUUUUUUUUUUUUUGAGACGGAGUCUCACUCUGUCGCCCAGGCUGGAGUGCAGUGGUGUGAUCUCAGCUCACUGCAAGCUCUGCCUCCUGGGUUCACACCAUUCUUCUGCCUCAGCCUCCCGAGCAGGUGGGACUACAAGUACCCACCACCAUGCCUGGCUAAUUUUUUGUAUUUUUAGUAGAGACGGGUUUCACCAUAUUAGCCAGGAUGGUCUCAAUCUCCUGACCUCGUAAUCCGCCCGCCUCGGCCUCCCAAAGUGCUGGGAUUACAGGUGUGAGCCACCGCGCCCAGCCACACCUGGUAUUUUUAUACCACCUUAUGACUUUUAGAAACCUUAACAGUUUCCUUCCUUAAAGCUAUAAACAAAUGGAUUUGAGGUAUCUUAAAAUUAACAGAAAGGGAUUCUAGGAUUGUUUUUUAUUGUAUCUGUUGAAAUCCAACUAGCCUCCAAGGUUCAAUUUUUCCUUUUUCAUUUGUUUUUGUUGUUGUUUCUUUCUUUCUUUUUUUUUUUUUUUUUUUUUUUUGAGACAGAGUCUUGCUCUGUCACCCAGGCUGGAGUGCGGUGGCAUGAUCUCAGCUUACUCCAACCUCCUCUUCCCAGGUUCAAGCAAUUCUCCUGCCUCAGCCUCCCAAGUAGCUGGUAUUACAGGCACAUGCCACCAAGCCUGGCUAAGUUUUGUAUUUUUCGUAGUGACUGGGUUUCACCAUGUUGGCCAGGCUGGCCUCAAACUCCUGACCUCAAAUGAUCCACCCACCUUGGCCUCCCAAAGUGUUGGGAUUACGGGCGUGAGCCACUGCGCCCGGCCUGUUUCAUCUUUUGUACAGGGCUUUUCUCUGAAUCCUUGGUUUUCUGCUCAUGCUUAAGAAUGAGUAACAAAAAAGCUGAUUGAAGUUCUGAGUGGGGAUUGUUAACUGUGGACUUCACUAUUGAGUGAUCUUGCUGGGUAGUUCAUUAGUUGGGAAAUAUCUAGUGAAAUAUCUUAAGAUCUUUCCUUUUGGGCUGAUCUGAUUGCCUAGAAAAAACCUUUUCAAUCUUCUAGCUGAAUAACAAGCUGCAUACUGGGAACAGAGUGGUAGAGCAAAAGGGUUGAAGAGGCAGGGUUCUCAGCAUUCUGCAUGCAUGUUUCCUUAAUUCCUCAGUUUUCAGUACGUUACCCUUUCUUUCAGCGAGGCCUGGAAUCCCCUGGUUGUCUGGUUCAACCAUUUCCAGAGAAUAAACCUCUAUUCAUUUGCUGGAGUAGGAGAAAGGGAAAUAGGGAUCUGACUGCGUCUUAAUCUGACUUUCAGCCACAUUCCCUUAUUUUUAGCAUUUCCCCCUACUUCACCUGGUACCACCAAUUAUUAGCCUUUUGGAGAUUCUGUAGCAUAAGUCAGAUUUGAGUCUUAGCUCUCAAUACUUCUAUCUUUGAAAUCAAUUUUCUCUGGUCUCCUAAAUUCCUUAUCACUUCUCCUUUUGUUCUAACAACAAAUUUUUAUAUCUGUUAUUUCCUUUCCCAUUCUACCCAUCCUUGAAGGUUUACACCUUCUUUUAAAAACCCCUAUUCUGUCAUUAUAAUGGGGUUUCAGUAAUGUACAUACAUGUCUCUUAUCCACUGUCUUUACAGGCAAGGCCUAUGGAUUGAAAUUCUUUUUCCCUUUUCUUCAGGCUAGAGGUAAACUUUCCCUCAUUCAUAUCCCUGGUGUUGGCUUAUUCCUUUGAUGGCAGCUGUUGUAUGAACUUACUAACAUAGCUUUUCUAAUCCCCUUACUAGAUAACAUAUUUGAGAGUAAAUAUUGUGUCUCAUUCAUCAUAGUGUAUAUCUCUGCAUGGUAUCUUGUGCAUAGGAGGUGCCUAUUAAAUAUCGGUUAAAUUGAUUUGAGCUACCUUGUGGCCUCUGCAUUGUUAGCAUUCCAGAGUUCGCCCAGAGCUAUUCCUUUAUGGUUUUCCUGGGACCUUAAGAGCACCUCUGUGGGCUGCCAUAAUUAAUUGAUCCACCUGAUUCUCUUUUACCCUAUCUGUAUAGUUGUGGGAUGUGGGGGAAAAGAGUGAACAGAAAUGGAAAAGAAAAGGGGGGAAUUGUUUGAGAGCUGUGAUAGAUCAGGAGGUUAAUUUACAUAUUUCAUGUAUUUCAUACAUGUUUCAAAAGUUUGAAAUGAUUGACUUUUUCUUUAUAUUGAGUAAUAUGUUUACAGGCUCCAGGCCAACUUUAAAUUUAUUAUUUUAGUAUUCUUUUUUUUUUUUUUUUUUGAGACGGAGUCUCGCUCUGUUGCCCAGGCUGGAGUGCAGUGGUGUGAUCUCAGCUCACUACAACCUCCACCUCCCGGGUUCAAGCAAUUCUCCUGCCUCAGCCUCCUGAGUAGCUUGGACUACAGGUGCGUGCCAUUACGCCCGGCUAAUUUUUUUUAUUUUUAGUAGAGGCAGGGUUUCACCAAGUUAGCCACACUGGUCUCGAUCUCCUGACCUCAGGCAAUCCGCCCGCCUUGGCCUCCCAAAGUGCUGGAAUUACAGGCGUGAGCCACUGCACCAGGCCCAUAUUUUAGUAUUCCUAACACUGAGAAAAAAGAAGGAAAAUAUUUAAAAAUCGGACCACAGGCCAGGCAUGGUAGCUCAUGCCUGUAAUCCCAGCACUUUGGGAGGCUGAGAUGGGCUGAUCACCUGAGGUUAGGAGUUCGAGACCAGCUUGGCCAACAUGGUGAAACCCUGUCUCUACUAAAAAGCUCCAAAAAUUAGCCAGGCGUGGUGGUGUGUGCCUGUAGUUCCAGCUACUCGAGAGGCUGAGGCAGGAGAAUCGCUUGAUCCCAGGAGGCGAAGGUUGCAGUGAGCCUAGAUUGCGCCGUUGCACUCCAGCCUGAGUGACAGAGCAAGACUCUUUCUCAAAAAAAAAAAAACAGACCCCAAAACAUUUUGAAUAUUAUAUAUUUGUAAGACCGUGUGCUUAUUUGAAAAGAAAUCAUAUGAUACAAAGUAAACUUUUAUUUUUAAAAUAAAAGUUUGUUUUGCUCUUGAGCAAAUACGUUUUUUCUUACUAUCUUUCCUGUUGUCUGUAAGAUUUAUAGAUUGUAGUCUAAAUUAAUUUGUUUAGGUAUAUAGUAUUGGGAGGGGUAUUUAACUUCUAAGUUCAGGGAUAUGUGUGUAAGUUUGUUAUAUAGAUAAAGUUGUGACAUGGGGGUUUGCUGUACAGAUUAUUUUGUCACCCAGGUGGUAAGUGUGGUACCCUUUAGUUAUUUUUUCUGAUCGUCUCCCUCCUCGCAACCUCUAUUCUCCAAUAGGCCUCAGUAUCUGUUGUUCCUCUUUAUGUGUCCAUGUGUUCUUAUCAUUUAGCUCCCACUUGUAAGUGAGAACAUGUGGUAUUUGGUUUUCUGUUCCUGUGUUAGUUUGUUAAGGAUAAUGGCCUCCAGGUCCGUCUGUGUUCCUGCAAAGGACAUGAUCUUGUUCUUUUCUAUGGCUGCAUAGUAUUCCUUGGUAUAUAUGUACCGCAUUUUCUUUAUCCACUCUACCAUUGAUGGACAUUUAGGUUGAUUCCAUGUCUUUGCUAUUGUGAAUAGUGUUGCAUUGAACAUACAUGUGCAUGUGUCUUUUUAGGCUGUAAAUGCUGUUUCCCCCAUGGUCCAACAGCGACCCUGCCCAGUUUAACUCCCAAUUCAGGGACUUAGGCCCGUGAAACCUCCUAACCACCCACAAUCCUAGGUAAGGCCAACUCUGUGACCCUGGUCAGCAAAGAACAGUUAAAAAAAUAAAACCUGGCUGGGCGCAAUGGUUCACGCCUGUAAUCCCAACACUUUGGGAGGCUGAGGCAGGCAGAUCACAUGAGGUCAGAAGUUCAAGACCAUCCUAGCUAACACAGGCGCGGUGGCUCAUGCUUGUAAUCCCAGCACUUUGGGAGGCCGAGGCAGGCGGAUCACCUGAGGUCGGGAGUUCGAGACCAGCCUGACCAACAUGGAGAAACCCCAUCUCUGCUAAAAAUACAAAAAUUAGCCGGGCAUGGUGGCACAUGCCUGUAAUCCCAGCUACUCGGGAGGCUGAGGCAGGAGAAUCACUUGAACCUAGGAGGCGGAGGUUGCAGUGAGCUGAGGUCGUGCCACUGUACUCCAGCCUGGGCAACAGAGCAAGACUCCAUCUCAAAAAAAAAAAAAAAAAGACACAUAGCCCUCCUGCACAAAUAAGUCAAGUUAUCCUGUGCCCAACUUAUCACCAGACACUUGUAAGUUAGCUCACCACAACCUUGGCAUUAUCAGUACUGCACAAAGCCCUCUUCAGCAUGCAGCAGAAACACCAUUCUAUAAAAACUCACAGCAAGCCCUUGUCUCUUUGCAGUCAGCAUUUUUCUUGCUGACCUGCCUGUUUCACCCUUGCAGUGUAUUUUCAUACUCUAGUAAAUCUGCCUUUUUUUUUUUUUUUUUCCCCCGAGAUGGAGUUUUGCUCUUGCUUUCCAGGCUGGAGUGCAAUGGCAUGAUCUCGGCUCACUGCAACCUUCACCUCCUGGGUUCAAGCGAUUCUCCUGCCUCAGCCUCCCAAGUAGCUGGAAUUACAGAUGCCCGCCACCAUGCCUGGCUAAUUUUUUUGUAUUUUUAGUAGAGAUGGGCUUUCACCAUGUUAGUCAGGCUGAUCUGGAACUCCUGACCUUGAGUGAUCCACCUGCCUCGGUCUCCCAAAGUGCUGGGAUCACUGGCGUGAGCCACCAGGCCUGGCCAUAAAUCUGCCUCUUUUUUUUUUGAGACAGAGUUUCACUCUUGUUGCCCACGCUGAAGUGCAAUGGCGCGAUCUCGGCUCACUGCAACCUCUGCCUCCCAGGUUCAAGCAAUUCUCCUACCUUGGCCUCCUAAGUAGCUGUGUCACAGGCAUGCACCACCGCACCCAGCUAAUUUUGUGGUUUUAGCAGAGAUGGGGUUUCAUCACGUUGACCAGGCUGGUCUUGAACUCCUGACCUUGGGUGAUCACCUGCCUUAGCCUCCCAGAGUGCUGGGAUUACAGGCGUGAGCCCCCAUGCCCGGCUAAAUCUGCCUUUCUUUGCCUACAACUGUCUAAAUUCUUACCACCGGGGCCACCAGCCCAGAUAGACACUGAUCAUCUGCAACACCCGUCUGAUGGACAAGAUUGCCCUGCAGAGUUCAAGUCUGAGAGUUCCCCUAGAGCUAAACUCUCCUAUCAAAGUAAGUCGAGUCUAGAGGCAUGGCAGUCCCUGGCUGUGCUCCAUUACAGAAUGCUCCUGCAGCAAACCCUCUGGUCUCCACAUCAGGUGGCUUGCUGCCCUUACCACUCCUCUGAGCAUCUCUCUGCCAACUCAAGUGUCCAGAGUCUCUCUCUGUUGCCCAGGCUGGAGUGCAGUGGCACGAUCACAGCUCAUGGCAACCUCCACCUCCCGGGUUCAAGUAAUUCUUCUGCCUCAGCCUCCCAAGUAGCUGGGAUUACAGGUGAACGCUACCACGCCCAGCUAAUUUUUGUAUUUUUAGUAGAGACGGGGUUUUACCAUGUUGGCCAGGCUGGUCUCAAACUCCUGACCUCAAGUGAUCUGCCCACCUCAGACUCCCAAAGUGGUAGGAUUACAGGCAUGAGCCACCACGCCUGGCCUCUCCUGUAUUUUUUAAAUAAAUUGUUUUGUUUACUUUUUUGGAUAGGUGAUACAUUUAAGUGAUUUUUUGUUUGUUUGUUUUUUGUUUUUGAGAUGGAGUUUCGGUCUUGUUGCCAGGCUAGAGUGCAAUGGCACUAUCUUGGCUCAUUGCAACCCCGCCUCCGGGUUCAAGCGAUUCCCCUGCGUCAGCCUCCCGAGUAGCUGGGACUACAGGCAUGUGCCACCAUGCCCAGCUAAUUUUGUAUUUUUAGUAGAGAUGGGGUUUCUCCAUGUUGGUUAGGCUGGUCUCAAACUCCCGACCUCAGGUGAUCCACCCGCCUCGGCCUCCCAAAGUGCUGGGAUUAAAGGUGUGAGCCACUGCGCCUGACCUAAGUGAUUUUUAGAUGAAAAGCCAAACAAGACCAGUUACCAUAUAUUAACAUUUUAUAAUUUUUUAUAACCCAUUUAAAAAAUGUUUUUAUGGUCCUAUUUGAUUCUGUGAAUUAGAACAUAUUCUUUCAUUUUAUUUAUGAAGAAACUGAUUACCUAACAGUAUAAACCUAGUUGGUGAUGGAGCCAGAAUUUGAACUUAGGUCCUUUGACUCUUACAACUAGUGUUAUAAUUAUAGUGGGAAAAACUGAACUGGAAGUCAAAGAGCAUAAUUAUGACUAAGUGAAUAAUUGCUUCUAAAAGAAAUAUUGACAGGUUCAUGGGUUUUACUAGAUAAUAAGCAUCUUAUAUAAUACUACUCCCAUAAGUGGUAGUAUUAUACUGCUUUUUCUCCAAUUUUUAGAAGUGUUAACCUGUCAUGUUGUUUCACAACAUCAGUGAACCAAUAGAUACUUCUUAUGUGCUUGUAUGCUAUUGUAUCCUUGUUCUUGUCUGUGAAUUCAUUCUUCUUUAGGUGCUUCAUGCAGACAUCUGUACACCAGAUUUACUUCUGCAAAAUGCUGAUGCUAUGAAUAAUGCUUUUGAAUAUUAAUAAGGCAAAACAGACCAGGUAUGUUAUUUUAUCAAGCAAGAAAUUUGUCAUUAAAAUAUAUCCAGCAAGAUAUGAAAAGAGAUUAGUAGGUGAGAAAUGUUUUCAUGUUAAACUUUUUAAAAACUACUCCUCAAACAACUAUAAGGAGUAUAAUCUCCUUAUAGAGUAUAAGGAAAAGUGCUGUUUAUAAAAUGAAAACAAACCUUGUCUGAUUUUGGAAAACAUAGUAUCUAAUUUUUUUUUUUUUUUUUUGGAGACAGGGUCUCGCUCUCUCACACAGGCUGGAGUGCAGUGGUGCGAUCUUAGCUCACUGCAACCGCCACAUCCCAGGUUCAAGCAAUUCUCCCACCUCAGCCUUCCAACUAGCUGGGAUUACAGGUGUGUGCCACCAUGGCUGGCUAAUUUUUUGUAUUUUUAGUAGAGACAGUGUUCCACCAUGUUGGCCAGGCUGGUCUGGAACUCCUGACCUCAAGUGAUCUGCCCACCUCAGCCUCCCAAAGUGCUGGGAUUACAGGCAUGAGCUGUGACACCCAGCGUGUCUAAUUUUUGACAGAUAAAAUGAUUUCAUGAUCCAACAUUUCCUUAGCAGUGAGGGAUACAAUAAAAUACCAAUUCUCAGUGGGCCUUUAUACUUCUUUUUUUUUUUUUUUUGAGAGGAGUCUUGCUCUGUCGCCCAGGCAGGAGUGCAACAGUGCAAUCUUGGCUCACUGCAGCCUCCGCCUGCCAGGUUCCAGCGAUUCUCCUGCCUCAGCCUCCUGGGUAUGGGUAACUGGGAUUACAGGCACGUGCCACCAUGUUCGACUAAUUUUUGUAUUUUUAGUAGAGAUGGGAUUUCACCAUGUUGGCUAGCCUGGUCUCAAACUCCUAACCUCAAGUGAUCCGUCUGCCUCAGUCUCCCAAAGUGCUAGGAUGUGGGUGUGAGCCACUGCGCCCAGCCUAUACUUGUUCUUUUCUGCCUCAGUUUUUUUUCUGUGAAAUAACAUCAUAUUGCUAUCCUAUUACAAACUAAUGGGAAUUAACUAAGGCUUAUAAAUGAAUAUUAAAUGGAUAUAAGAAUAUUGGCUGGGCACAGUGGCUCACACCUAAAUUCCAGCACUUUGGGACGCUGAGAUGGGUGGAUCACAGGGUCAGGAGUUCGAGACCAGUCUGGCCAAUAUGGUGAAACUCCAUCUCUACUAAAAGUACAAAAAUUAGCCUGGCGUGGUGGUGGGUGCCUGUAGUCCCAGGUACUCAGAAGGCUGAGGCAGGAGAAUCGCUUGAACCCAGGAGGCGGAGGUUGCAGUGAGCCAAGAUGGUGCCACUGCACUCCAGCAUGCAUGACAGAGUGAGACUCCACCUCAGAAAAAAAAAACAAGAAUAUUGCCGGGUGUGGUGGCUCACUCCUGUAAUCCCAGCACUUUGGGAGGCCGAGGCGGGCAGAUCACGAGGUCAGGAGAUUGAGACCAUCCUGGCUAACACAGUGAAACCCCGUCUCUACUAAAAAUGCAAAAAAAAAAAAAAAAAAAUUAGCUGGGUGUGGUAGCGGGCACCUGAAGUCCCAGCUACUCAGGAGGCUGAGGCAGGAGAAUGGUGUGAACCCAAGAGGCAGAGCUUGCAGUGAGCCGAGAUCGCACCACUGCACUCCAGCCUGGGUGACAGAGCGAGACUCCGUCUCAAAAAAAAAAAAAAAACAAGACUAUUAACCUGGAAAACAGAUUAAUUAUUGAACUUUAAAAAUGUUCUUAAGGUUCCUUGAGUUUAUUCUGCUAUUCAAAUAGAAAAACUAGCAAAUCUAUGAUCACUUUUCUGACUUCUUGCCACAAUUGGUGCAUCAGUACCUAUAGGAUCCUCUAAUUAGAAAAUUGCUAUAGUCUGUAGUCUGAAACCCUGAAAUCAGGCUUGCUGAUUUCUUACUUUUUAUAUGGCAUAUAUGGAUUCUAGACACAAGAAAGUUCCUUUCAAUAUAUUUGAAAGAGACACUAAUAUUUUUGGAUUGGUGCAUCAUUAAGGUUUUCAUCACAGAGAAAUUAAAAUGCAGGAGUGCAGUGGUGUGAUCUUGGCUCACUGCAACCUCCGCCUCCCAGAUUCAAGCAAUUCUCCUGCCUUAGCCUUCCGAGUAACUGGAAUUACAGGCGUGCCGCCACCAUGCCUGGCUAAUUUUUGUAUUUUUAGUAGAGAUGGGGUUUCACCAUGUUGGCCAGACUGGUCUCGAACUCCUGACUUCAGGGGUCUCACUCUGUCCUGACUUCAGGUGAUCCACCUGCCUCGGCCCCCAAAUCAAGGAAGCACUUCAUGGCUUCUCUGGCAUAUCUAACUUGCCAGCAUCACUACUCUGUGCUUUGGGGCCAUUCUUAAGUAAAAUAAGCAUUACUUGAAAAGCAAACAAAAAAAUGAAAAUUAAAAAAAAAGAAAAUUUAAAAAACAAACAAAAAAGAACGAGAAAUAAGCCUUACUUUACCACCAGCCCUUCGAUAAGGAGACAAAGGGCUUGAUCUGACAAAGAAGACGCUACUAAGUGACUAACAGGUGGGUAGUGGAGACAAGUGUGGAUCCCCUGGAUAAAGAGAUAAUUCACUUCUGGGAUACAGAGCAAGAUGGCGUGAAAUUUCAUCAUGCUACUCAGAAUGGCAUGCAGUUUAAAACCUAGGAGUUUUUUAUUUCCGGAAAUUUUUGUGUGCUGUUUUCAGAUUACAGUUGACCACAGGUAAUUGAAACUACGGAAAGAAAAACCAUGGCUAAGUGGAGAUCACUUUAUAUGCUUAACACAUUUUUUAAUAAAUAUGAGGUAAAUAUUCAAACUGUAGGAUACCAAGGAGACAUUACUACCACCACCUUCAAUAUUCUGUAUGUGGAGUUAUUCAACUUAGUUUUUAAAUGUCUAUAUAUUUGCCUAGAGACAACUAACUGUCAUUUUAUUUUAUUUAUUUUUAUUAUUAUUAUUUGUGCGUGUGGCAUGAGGUCUCCCUCUGUAGCCCAUGCUGGAGUGCAGUAGCGUAAUCUUGGCUCACUGUAACCUCAACCUCCCGGGUACAAGCGAUUCUCCUGCCUCAGCCUCCUUAGUAGCUGGGACUACAGGUGUGCGUCACCACACCCAGCUGAUUUUUUUGGAUUUUUAGUAGAGAUGGGGUUUCACCAUGUUGGCCAGGCUGGUCUCGAACUCCUGACCAGGAGUGUGGUGGUGCAUGCCUGUAGUCCCAGCUACGUGGGAGGCUGAGGUGGGAGGAUCACUUAAGCCCAGGAAGCUGCACCACUGCACUCCAACCUGGGCAAUAGAGUGAGACUGUGUCUCAAAAAAAAAAAAAAAAAUGCUAGUUUCUUACUUUAGGAGAAUUUUUAGUGUUGGAAGCUUUAUACUUCCCACAAUUUGUCAUUCCUUAGCUUGACCUCAACCUCCCUCUCUAUCCUCCAGUGUUAUGCAAUGCAUCUCAGAAGGUUUGUGGGGAAGGAGAAAAAUAGAGUUAAGAUAGUUUCAUAUUUCAUCAGCCAAAUGAAAAAUACACAAAACAAAACCAGUUUUUCAUAUAGCAUUGCUGGUACUCAAACAAAAACAUUAAGAUUACAGUAAAUGUCCUAAUUAUUUAGCUCUUUACCAUUUUACAUUGAUUUGAUAAAAAUUAAAUUGAUAGAAAAUAAACGUAUUAGAACUCUGGAACUUUUUUCAGCCAAUGAUUUUUUUAAAUUAUUAAACUUCAUACAGGGCUGGGUGCAGUGGUUCAUGGCUGUAAUCCCAGCACUUUGGAAAGCCAAGACAGAUCACUUGGGGCCAGGAGGUCAAGACCUGUGUGGCCAACAUAGUGAAACCCCAUCUCUACUAAAAAUACAAAAAAUUAGCUGGGCAUAGUGGCACGCACCUGUAGACCCAGCUACUCAGGAGGCUGAAGCGCGAGAAUCGCUUGAACCCGGGAGGCAGAGGUUGCAGUGAGCUGAGAUUACGCCACUGCACUCCAGCCUGGGUGACAGACUGAAACUCUGUCUCAAAAAAAAAAAAAAACCGGCCAGGCGCUGUGACUCACACCUGUAAUCCCAGCACUUUGGGAGGCCGAGGCGGGCGGAUCCACGGGGUCAGGAGAUCGAGACCAUCCUGGCUAACACGGUGAAACCCCGUCUCUACUAAAAAUACAGAAAAUUAGCCGGGCGUGGUGGCGGGCGCCUGUAGUCCCAGCUACUCGGGAGGCUGAGGCAGGAGAAUGGCAUGAACCCAGGAGGUGGAGCUUGCAGUGAGCUGAGAUCACGCCACUGCACUCCAGCCUGGGCGAAAGUGCAAGACUCUGUCUCAAAAAAAAAAAUAAAAACAAAAGUAAAUAAAAUAAAAAUAAUUUUGAAAAUUAACUUCAUACAGCUUCUUCAUUUUUUUUGUCACCUUAUUCCCUCACCCAACCUCCAGUGCUGUCUAGUAAUGCAGAUGCCCCAGAUGUCCCAGCCUCGUCCCAUUUUGGGAUACAACAGCUUAAACAUUCCAAAAUUUGAUGAAAACUUCAUCAUUAGUAGACAUUAUAAGGUAUUUUUUGUUGAUGGUGAAUUCCACAGCCAUUCAACUAUUAAUUGCACUAAUUUUACAAACAUGUACUAAGCGUCCACUGUUUAUCCAGCACUCUGCCAGACUCUGGAUACAAACAUGGAACACUUGGGUCCACUCUGAAGGAACUCACAGUCUAAGGAGAGAGGCGCUUCUUUCAUUUAGAUACAGGGUAAGGAAAGAUGUCGCUGGUAGAGGGAAUGCCAUAUGCGGGGGCAUAGAGGAGAGUAUUUUAGUAUGACCAGGGUCCAGGCUAGGAUUACAUGAGGUUGGUAAAGUAGACGAAUGCCAGAUCGGGAAGGACAUGGUGUCGCAAACAAAGGAGAUCACAUUGUAUUCUGAAAGGGGGAGCCAUUCCAAGAUGCAUUAGCAUACUGAUACAGUCAGAAUAAAAGUAUAGAAACGUAAUUCUGAAGACGUUAUUUAGGAUGGAUUAAAAGGGUAAAACAUGGUCGGGUGUGGUGGCUCACACCUGUAAUCCCAGCACUUUGGGAGGCCAAGGAGUGCAGAUCACAAGGUCAGGAGUUCUGGACCAGCCGGGCAUGGUGACGGGCACCUGUAAUCUCAGCUACUCAGGAGGCUUGAGGCAGAAGAAUUGCUUGAACCCGGGAGGCAGAGGUUGCAGUGAGCCGAGAUCGUGCCAUUGCACUCCAGCCUGUGCGACAAGAGCAAGAUUCUGUCUCAAAAACAAAAUAAAAGGGCAAAACAACAGCAAAGAAAAUAAGUCAGCCACUGGAGUGGUCCAGCAAACCCAGUAGUAAUGAACUAAGGCAUCAACACUGGGAAUGAAGGGAGAAAGAAGGAAUCAUGAAGUAUUUAGGAGGGCCUAGCACUUUGUGGGGAGUAGAUAAAUCUGGAAGUGAGUAGUUUUAAUAAUUACAUUUACGAAGAGAUUUGAGAAAAUCAGUGAGGCAUUACAGCAAAUCCAUUAAGUCAAAAGAUAAUAGCAAGAAAUCUGCUGCAUGGAAUCAUACGCUAACAAAAUAAAAAAUAGUUAAAUACUAAGUACAUGGCCAAAAAAGAAUGCCAGGAGGCAAACAUUAAAACAAUAGCUUGAAUGGGAACCUGCCAAGGGUGAAACACACAUAUAAGAUACACAAGGAUAACUGCAUUGAAGACAAGGAUUAGGGUAGGGCAUAAAAUAAAGUUCUAAACAUUGUAAAUAAGAAUCUAGCUGGGGAGCUGGGUGCUGUGGCUCAUGCUUGUAAUCCCAGCACUUUGGGAGGCCAAAGUGGGUGGAUCACCUAAGGUUGGGAGUUCUAGACCAGCCUGACUGACACGAAGAAACCCCGUCUCUAAUAAAAAUACAAAAUUAGCCAGGUGUGAUGGCACAUGGAUGUAAUCCCAGCUACUCAGGAAGCGGAGGCAGGGGAAUCACUUGAACCCAGAAGGCAGAGGUUGCAGUGAGCCGAGAUCGUGCCAUUGCACGCCAGCCUGGGCAACAAGAGCGAAAGUCCAUCUCAAAAAAAAGAAUCUUGCUGCGGAAAAGAAGACAAACAUAAGGGUUUCACUGGCGACAUGCUAGUAUAGUAAAAGAUACGUACUUUAUUUUUAAUUUUUUUUUGAGACAGGGUCUAGCUUUGUCUCCUAGGAUGGAGUGCAGUGGUGUGAUCUCAACUCAUUGCAGCCUCAACCUCCCAGGCCCAAGCAGUCUUUCCACCUCAGUCCCCCAAGUACUUGGGACUACAGCUGUGCACCACCAUGCCUGGCUAAUUUUUUGUAGGGACAGGGUUUCACCAUAUUGCCCAGGCUGGUCUCAAACUCCUGAGCUCCAGCAAUCCACCUGCCUUUGCCUCCCAAAAUGCUGAGAUUACAAGUAUGAGGCACCACUCCUGGCUUAAUUUUUUUUUUUUUUUUUUUAAGACAUGGUCUCACUCUGUCACCCAGGCUGGAGUGCAGUGGCAUGAUCUCAGCUCACUGUGGCCUCAACCUUUCAGGCUCAGGUGACCCUCCCACCUCAGCCUCCCAAGUAGUUGGGACUAUAGGCACCCACCACCACACCCAGCUAAUUUUUGUAUUUUUUGGUAGAGACGGUUUCACCAUGUUUUCCAGGCUCAUCUCAAGCUCCUGGGUUCAAAUGAUCCACCUGCCUCAGCUUCCUAAAGUGCUGGGAUUACAGGCCUAAGCCACCAUGCCUGCCCAGAUACCUACUUUAAAAGUAACUUUUUCCUUAGAUACAGUGUUGUUUAGGCAGGCCUUGGAACCUGGGGUAUUGCUUAAUGCUUUAAGCAACUCAACCACUUUAGGCUGCCGUUUUAUCCACUUGUAAAAUAAGUUAAUUCAUCUUUUCUGACCAUGAAUUUCACAAGAGUAUUAUGUACAUCGAGAAUGAUAAACAGUCCUUCAGACACACAUAUGGAAAUGCACAUAAAUAGAAUACAAAUUGGAACUGAUCUGUUUAUCAGAAGAAAUGUCCCAACCACAUAGAUAGAUAAAGUAAUCGUAUUUGUAUCAAGGAUCCUCAUUUCGAAGAGCAUUCAACUUCAAGUUGCUCUUUGCCAACAACAAUGAUCAUCCAGCUGUUAAGUUCUCUAACACUAAUUGGUAUUCUCAAAUUUCUACUUUCUUUGAGGGAGAUGAGGAAAAAAUGCCCAAUAUAACCUUUUAGGAAUAAAUUAAAUAUAGAUUAUGGAUUAGUGAAAAUGUAAUUACGUAGACUGAGGAGAAAAGAAAGUAUGUGGCCAGGUGCGGUGGCUCAUGCAUGUAAUCCCAGCACUUUGGAAGACCGAGGCAGGCAGAUCACCUGAGGGCAGGAGUUCGAGACCAGCCUGGCCAACAUGGUAAAACCCAGUCUCUACUAAAAAUACAAAAAAUUAGCUGGGCAUAGUGGCACAUACCUGCAGUCCCAGCUACUUGGGAGCCUGAGGCAGGAGAAUUGCUUGAAACCAGGGGGCGGAUGUUACAGUGAGGCAAGAUUGCACCAUUGCACUCCAGCCUGGGCGACAAGAGUGAAACUCCGUCUCAAAAAAAAAAAAAGUGUGUAAAAUCUCAACUGUACCUAAUGACAGAAAAAGGUCAUAAGCUAUGAAAUCAUCUCAAGCAGGCUCUGUUAAAAUGCUUCCAUACUGACUGGGCGCAGUGGCUCACGCCUGUAAUCCCAGCACUUUGGGAGGCCAAGGCGGGCAGAUCACCUGAGGUCAAGAGUUCAAGACCAACCUGGCCAACAUGGCAAAACUCCAUCUCUACUAAAAAUACAAAAAUUAGCUGGGUGUGGUUGUUGGCAUCUGUAAUCCUAGCUACUCGGUAGGCUGAAACAGGAAAAUCAUUUGAACCUGGGAGGUGGAAUUUGCAGUGAGCCCAGAUGGUGCCACUGUAUACUCUAGCCUGGGCAACAGAGCAAGACUUCAUCUAAAAAAAAAAACAAAAAAAAAACAGCUUCCAUACUGACCUAAAUCACAGACUCCUAUACCAAGAGUCAUCAAGGAAGAUUUUCAGAGAAUAAAAAACACAUAAAAUUUGCUGACACAUAUUUUAUACGAGAUGCAUUAGCUGUUGACCCUAACAACCCAAUGAUGCAGGAGCUAUUAACCCUAUUUAACAGAUGAGUAAACUGAGUUUUAGUGAAGGUAAGAACCUUUCCAAAAGUUACACAGUUAGUAAAUGGCAGAGCCAGGAUUCAACCCUAUUCCUAUCUGAACUCCAAAGACCAUGCCCUUUUGUUAUGCUGCAUCUGUAUUUUAAAUUUCAUAACCUACUAUUAACCACAGAAAUCAAUAGAUUCUAAUAGAAAAUGUGUUUUGCCUUAUUUUGGUUUUGCAUUCCCUCAUAAUGUGAGAGUUGCUUGAGUAAUUGUCAAAUGUAUGAGAUGAUUUAUAAAUCUGCUGGGUGCUUAAGCCAAGAGGAAGAAAUAAAGGUUCAAAAUUUGUGACUUUUGUGAAUAAAAGUACAACGUAGCUUUAAUACUGUAAAUGGUAUCAUCCAAUACUAUGAACCUAAUAACCUAAAUGGGAAUUAUUGUUGUAAUUUUUUUUACAUUGAAAGUUACCUAUAUAGAAAGUGGGUUCAUUUUCUUCUUUUUUUUUAUUUACUGAAUUGUUCAUACAUUAAUAAAAUAAUACCUGAACUUUUCAAAAGCAACUGAAGAAAUAGAAAAUAUGACAAGUUUUUGGCUUGAAAACAGGCAGGAAAGGACAACUCAUAGAGACUAUACGUGGUUUGCUUAUAACGACUCAGUUUUUGGACUCAAUCUUUUGUUUAAUUUCCUUGCCAAACAAACAUUAUUUUCCUUGUCAAACAAGCAUUAAUAUUUAAGUCAAACUGCAAGGUGCAAAAAUAAGAGCCAUGCUUUCUGUAUGAAUUCAGAAAAGCACAGACUUUUCAAGUUUGAAAAUGUCUCAGAAUAAACUUGUCCAACUCCAUUUUCUUACAGAAAAAAAAAAUUGUAUUUGAAGCUUCUUUGCAAAGAAAUGAGUGAAUGCAACUUCCUUAAAACCUACCUGCAUUCUGACAACAUGGGACCCACAAUUUAUGGGAUAAAAUGAAGCUUGAAAAUUACUUUAGGUUGAUGUUGAGAAGUUGGAACCCUCCUACAUUGCUGGUAGGAUUUUAAAAUGGUGCAAAUGCUUUGGAAAACAGUUUGAUAGUUACUCAAAAUGCUAAAGAUGGAGAUACUAUAUGACCUAGCAGUCUCACUCCUAGAUACAUAGUCAAGAGAAAGGAAAACAUGUCCAACACAAAAACUUGUACAUAAACAUUGACAGCACAUUAUGUAUAAAAGCCAGAAAGUGAGGGGAGGUGGGGACAAAUGUCUCUCAGCUGAUGAAUGGAUAAAUAAAAUGUGGUAUAUCCAUACGAUGAAAUUUUACGUAGGUUAAAAGAUAGUAAUAAUACAUGCUACAACCCAAUGAUCUUGAAAACAUUGUGUGAAGAAGCCAGUCACAAAAGAUCAUAUUAUAUGAUUCAGUGUAUAUGAAAUGUUUAGAAUACACAAACCUAUAGAGACAGUACGUUACUGGUUGCUUAGAGCUGGGAUGGGGGUAAAAGAAGAUGGGAAGUGAUUACUAAUAGGUACAGGGUUUCUUUCUGAGGUGAUAAAAAUAGUUUAAAAAUAGAUUUUGGUGAUAGUUGCACAAUUGAUGAUACUAAAAACCACUGAAUUUACAUUUUAUUUAUUUUGAUACAGAGUCUCUCUCUGUCACCCAUGCUGGAGUACAGUGGUGUGAUCAUGGCUUAUUGCAACCUUGACCUUCCAGGCUUAGGUGAUCCUCCCACCUCAGCCUCCUGAGUCACUGGGACAUAGAUGUGCAUCCCCACACCCAGCUAAUUAUUGUAUCUUUUGUAGAGAUGUGGUUUCACCAUGUUGCCUAGGUCGCUUGAACUCCUGGGCUCAAGCAGUCCACCCACCUCAGCCUUCCGGAGUGCUGGGAUUACAGGUGUGAGCCACACUGUUCUGUCAUUCUUGCCUUUGUUCCUCAGCACUUGUAGCUUGUUUCUCUGGCUGUUUUGUUUUGUUUUGUUUUGUUUUGUUUUGUUUUGUUUUUUUGAGACAGGGUCUCGCUCUGUCGCCCAGGCUGGAGUGUGGUCGUGUGAUCAUGGCUCACUGCAGCCUCGACGUUCUAGGGUUAGGUUGUCCUCCCACCUCAGCCUCCCCAGUAUCUGUAAUUGCAGACAUGCAGCAACACACCCAGCUAAUUUUUAUAUUUUAUUUAUUUAUUUUUCUUAGAGAUAGGUUUUUGCCAUGUUGCCCAGGCUGGUCUCGAAUUCCUGGGCUCAAGCAAUCCUACUGCCUUUGCCUCACAAAGUGCUGGGAUUGUAGGCAUGAGCCACCACACCUGGCCCUGUUUUUAAUAUAUUCUUUUUGUGACUUUCAUUGUGCAUUGGUGUGUUUUAUUUUGUGUUUCUUUUGCCUGGAGUUUGUUGCACUUCUUGGAUCUGUGGGUUUAUAGUUUUGAUCACAUUUGGAAAAUGUUUUGGCUAUUAUUUCUUCAAAUAUUUAUUCUAUCCCUCCAUUUUUUUCUUCCUCUUUUGAGACUCCAGCUACACAUAUAUUAGGCUGCUUAAUGUUUUCCCACAGUGCAAUGAGAUCUGAUCAUUGAGAUCUGAUUUUUUUCAACCCAAUCUUUUGUAUUUCUGUGGUUCAUUUUGAUAAUUUCUAUUGCUAUGCCUUCAAGUUUAUUAAUCCUUUCUUUCUUUCUUUUCUUUUUUUUUUUCUUUUGAGACAGUCUCACACUGUCAUCGAGGCAGGAGUGCAGUGGCGCAAUCUUGGCUCACUGCAGCCUCUGCCUCCUGAGUUCAAGCAAUUCUGCUGCCUCAGCCUCCUGAGUAGCUGGGAUUACAGGUGCAGGCCACCACACCUGGCUAAUUUUUGUAUUUUUAGUAGAGACAGAGUUUUGCCAUGUUGGCCAGGCUGGUCUUGAACUCCUGAUCUCAGGUGAUCCACCCGCCUGGGCCUCCCAGAGUGCUGGGAUUACAGGCAUGAGCCAUCGUGCCAGGCCUUAAUCCUUUCUUUAGCAGUAUUUAAUCUGCUGUUAAUCCCCUCUAGUAUAUUGUCCAUCUUAGACAUUGUUUCUUUCUUCUUCUCUAGCUGUUUUGAGUCUUAAAAAUAUCUUACAUUCCUCUUCUUAUCAUGCUCAAACUUUCCAUUACCUUUUUGAAGAUAUGGAGUAUAGUUAGAAUAGCUGUUUUAAUGUUCUUAACUAACAAAUCCUAUAGUCUUUGUCACUUCUGGGUCUGUUUCUAUUGAUUGUUUUUUCUCCUUGUUAUAGGUUGUAUUUUCUUAUUUCUUCAAAAGCCUUCUAAUUUUUGGAUUCCAUUGUGCUGGAGUUUUCUUAUUUAAAUGUUUUGGGUUUUGUUCUGGGAUGCAGUUGUAUUACUUGGAAAUAGUUUGAAUGGUCAUUUCAAGGCUUACUUUGAAUCCUUUUUUUUUUUUCCCCUGAAAUGGAGUCUCACUCUGUCGCCCAGGCUGGAAUGCAGUGGUGCUCUCUGCUCACCACAACCUCCACUUCCUGGGUUCAAACAAUUCUCCUGCCUCAGCCUCCCAAGUAGCUGGGAUUACAGGUACCCACCACCACACUUGGCUAAUUUUUGUAUUUUUAGUAGAGAUGAGGUUUCACAAUGUUGGCCAGGCUGAUCCUGAACUCCUGACCUCAGGCAAUCCACCUGCCUUGGCCUCCCAAAGUGCUGGGAUUACAGGUGUAAACCAUUGCACCCAGCCUUUUUUUUUUUUUUUUUUGAGAUGGAGUCUUACUCUGUCGCUUAUGCUGGAGUGCAGUGGCGCAAUCUUGGCUCAUUGCAACCUCCGCCCCCUGGGUUCAAGCAAUUUCUCCUGCCUCAAUCUCCCGAGUAUCUGGGAUUACAGGUGCCUGCCACCGUGCCAGCUAAUUUUUGUACUUUUAGCAGAGACAGGGUUUCAUCAUCUUGGCCAGGCUGGUCUUGAACUCCUGACCUCAUGAUCCACCUGCCUUGGCCUCCCAAAGUGCUGGGAUUACAGGCAUGAACCACCGCUUCCGGCUGCCUUUUUUUUUUUUUUUCUUUGAGAUGGAGUCUCUCUCUGUCACCCAGGCUGGAGUGCAAUGGCACUAUCUAGGCUUACUGCAACUUCCGCCUCCCAGGUUCAAGCAAUUCUCCUGCCUCAGCCUACCGAGUAGCUGGGAUUACAGGCAUGUGCCACCAUGCCUGGCUAAUUUUUGUAUUUUUGGUAGAGACGGGGUUUUGCCAUGUUGGCCAGGCUGGUCUCGACCUCCUGACCUCAGGUGAUCUGCCCACCUCGGCCUCCCAAAGUUCUGGGAUUACAGGUGUGAGCCACCACGCCUGGCCUUGAAUCUUUGUAGGAAGGUCCAUUACAGCCUUUAAUAUGGGGCUUAUUUGGCUCAGCUACUGAAGCAAUACCUUCUCAAGACUCUACUCAAUGCCUUGCAUCUUAGGAGGUUUUUCCACUCGAUCUGGUUGGACCACAGUUUCUGGUCCUGUUUAAAUCCAAGUUUUGUUCUACUUGUUCUUCUCCAGUGCUUCUUUCUCAAAUCUUGGUCGUUUACUUCACGUACGUGUACUGAUGAUCAGAACCAGCUGAAGACUCAAGGAGAACACUUCUGAGCUCUUAUAUUAUGUAGUUCUCUCCUCUGAUUUUUACCAUGUAAAUUCUGAUGCCUUCACCUCCCAGAUCUUCAUACUGUUUGCUCAACUCAAAGAGGUGGUCAACAUCUGUUUGGGUUGCUCCUCCCUGUGCUGCAGCCUGGAAAUUCUACAGCAAUCAUAGGACUCACCUUUUUUUGUUUGCUUCUCUGAGAAAUCACUGUCCUGCACUGCCUCCUGUCUGAUAUCUGAAAACAAUUAACUAGUAUAUUUUUGUUCAGUUUUUUAAGUAUUUUAGGUGGGAGGUUAAUUCUGGUCCCUGUUACAUCAUCCUGGGUGGUAGCAGAAGUCACAGCAUAAAGUUUUUAUUUCCUAAUGUUUUCUUAGUUAUAUGGAUAAUUCAAAUGUUGAAUAAGAACCUAUUUUGCAUUUUAAUUUUUUCAAUCAUUUUAUAAGUUGGAGGAAUCUUUAAAAGUAGAAAAGCAAAAAAGGUGUAAAAUGAACAACUGACAAAUAAGAAAAUCAUGAUACUUUACCAAGAUGUUGUACUAGCUAAUUAUUAAGCAACUUAGGUAAUAUCUCAAAGGCUUUUAGAAAAUGUGUGUAAAAAAUUAUUUUAAUUCCUUAUAAUGUUUCUUUUUUCUUUCUUUCUUUUUUUUUUUUUGUUUUUUUGUUUGUUUGUUUGUUUGAGACAGAGUCUCACUCUGUCACCCAGGCUGGAGUGCAGUGGCGUGAUCUCUGCUCACUGCAACCUCCUCCUCUCGGGUUCAAGUGAUCCUUGUGCCUCAGCCUCCUGAGUAGCAGGAAUUACGGGCACCUACCACCACAUCAGGCUAAUUUUUGUAUUUUUAGUAGAGAAAGCGUUUCACCAUGUUGGCCAGGCUGAUCUCGAACUCCUGACCUCAGGUGAUCCGCCCGCCUCGGCUCCCAAAGUGCUGGGAUUACAGGCAUGAGCCACCGCACCUGGCCUAAAUGCUUAUUAUUUAUUUUUAUUUUUAUUUUUAUUUUUUGAGACGGAGGCUCGCUCUGUUGCCCAGGCUGGAGUGCAGUGGUGCAAUCUCGGCUCACUGCAACCUCCACCUCCUGAGUUCAAGCGAUUCUCCUGCCUCAGCCUCCCAAGUAGCUGGGAUUACAGGCACUCACCACCACGCCCAGCUCUUUUUUAUUUUUAUAUUUUUUUAAGUAGAGAUGGGGUUUUACCAUUUGGCCAGGCUGGUCUUGAACUCCUGACCUCGAGUGAUCCACCUGCCUCGGCCUUCCAAAGUGGUGGGGUUACAGGUGGGAGACACCACACACCCAAACACUUACUAUAUUUCUACUUAACGGCUUCAAGUCUUAAACAGAUUCCAGGACUAGCAACAUUUUGAAAACUCACUGUUCCACUGCAGUUUUGCUCUUAAGUAAAAUUUGAAAAAUUUGCUUUUAAAUAUGGGAGAUACUGAGCAUAAUAUUUAAUUUUUUUUUCUGAGACAGAGUCUCACUCUGUCACCCAGGCUGGAGUGCAGUGGCAUGAUCCCAGCUCACUGCAACCUCUGCCUGCCAGGUCCAAGUGAUUCUCCUGCCUUGGCCCCCCAAAUAGUUGGGAUUACAGGCAUGCACCACCAUGCCUGGCUAAUUUUGUAUUUUUAGUAGAGAUGGGGUUUCACCAUGUUAGCCAGGCUGGUCUCGAACUCCCGACCUCAGGCUAUCUGCCUGCCUCAGCCUCCCAAAGUACUGGGAUUACAGGCAUGAGCAACCCCGCCCAGCCAAAAUUUAAUUUUCAAGUGGCCAGUAGUUACUCCAAUGAAGCCAAAAAUAAUUAGUAUCAUUUUCCAGCCCAAGUUGCAGAAUGACUGAACAUAGAAGGCAUCUCAGAAAAAAAAAUUUUUUUUAAUCACUGGACACUUUAUUGAAAGCAAAGCAAGAUUUAGCAUCUUUGCCUUCGUUGUACACAGCUGAAGCGGAAGCCCAGGGAGAUGAGGACUGCAUGGUUUUCCUUGGCGUGGGAGGUGUGCACCCUUCAGUCCUCUCAUUUGUGGGAAGAUCAGCCCAUGCUCUGUUGGCUGCCAUAGUCCCUAGGAUGGAUGCCCUUCCAGUCAUCCCACUCCCGAACUCUGUAGAGUGUUUGUUCAUCAUCCUCUUCCUCCUUUUCUUCUUGACCUUCCUGUUGCUGAGCUGCUUUUCUGAAUUCCUCUGGUGUUGCCUUGGCUAUUCCCUGAUCUGGUAAUGCUCCAUAUUUCCAAUGUUGCUUAUACCAGUCACUCACCGUCAUAGUUGCCAGACUUGGAUAACCAGCUCCAAAUACUUUGACUUGGGCCAUGUUCCGAGUGAGAAUGAAGGGUUUCACUGGAGGCCUCUCCUGGCGAGAUGAAUUAGAAGUUGAUGCCUCUCUUGAAGAGUCUCUUUCUCUCAGGAUCUUUAUUUCCUGGUCAAUGCUCUCAAUCUCUUCUAAGCUGAUAUCAGUUCACCUCUGAAGGUGAAGAAGAUAAUAUUCACGAACACGCUCAUCAUCUGCUUGACCAGUUUCCACAGCAGAUUUGAUUGCAGACAACCUGUGCUCCAACUCCUUCUGCUUGUGUCUCUCUCUUUUAGCCUGUCUUUGAGAUGCCAUAGCAAUGAGGCUAGGAUAAGCCAUGGAGAAAUUAGCAGUGUGAUUUUUCAGCUGAGUUCUUGGUUUUCGGCAGCUCAAGCUCUGCCACCUGAUAGCAAUGGCACAGUUAAUUAGUUUAUAGUGCUCUUGAGCCCACUGCAAAUGAUCUAGACGCUUGCUGGGCUUGACUUGUUUCAUGGUGAAGGCUCCUUGAAACACUGGCACCAACAGGUACUUCAGGUCGGUGGAAGCAAUCACUUCCAAAUCUUCAUUUUAGCUGAACAAGUCAAGCUGCGAUAACAUUUCGGCAGCCUUCUCAAGGAGGUCCAGGCCCUUGAACACCUUCUUCUGGACUAUCCGGGAACCGGCAGGUUCAGUCACUACUUCUACAUCAUCCAGAAGCUGUUUGCUGGUUUCAAACAGCUCGGGGAGCUGUGGCAGCAGUAAUUUGUCUUCAGCAGCCAUCUUGGAGAGGGACAAACAAGAAAUUAUUUUUAAAGGAAAACUUUCAAAGUGAAAAGAGAAAUAUAUCUUCUCCUGGGAGUACUAAAAGAAAACCUCACCUCAGAUGAGUUAUCUCACAAUUUCCGAACAAAAAUAAUCACCUUUGGGCCAAGAAGAGGUGUGGAAAGUUUCAAACACAGUUUUUAUAAAGGGGGUACAACUGAAAAGGGGUUUUAACACAACCACCUCUCUCGCAGGCUUAUUAGAUCCUGAUCACCUAAGAGUUUCUUGUCAGCACUCCUGUCAAAUGGAUGAAAUGCGCCCGGAAGGCUACCUCUGACAAAAGGGAAGGCACAGCAGAAAUGUUACUGUGUAAGGGUGCCAGUGGGUACAGAUGUGGUUAUCAUCUUCCACUAAUCAUCUAAGAACAAAGCAUCUUUUGCUCCUUUGGGGGGCUAAAUGGGAUGGUUACUAAGUGGGAAGGAUGUGCUUUCCUAAUACAGCAGCAUAAUAAUUGUUCUAAAAGAUUUUAACCCUGGCUGGGCACAGUGGCUCACGCCUGUAAUCCCAGCACUUUGGGAGGCUGAGGCGGGCGGAUCAUGAGGUCAAGAGAUUGAGACCAUCCUGGCCAACACGAUGAAACCCCAUCUCUACUAAAAAUACAAAAAAAUUAGCCGGGCGUGGUGGUGGGCGCCUGUAGUCCCAGCCACUCAGGAGGCUGAGGCAGGAGAAUCGCUUGAACCCGGGAGGCGAAGGUUGCAGUGAGCCGAGAUUGUGCUGCACUCCAGCCUGGGCAACAGAGUGAGACUCUGUCUCAAAGAAAAAAAAGGGCAGGGGGUGUCAGGCAUGGUGGCUCACGUCUGUAAUCCCAGCACUUUGGGAGGCCGAGGCAGGCGGAUCAAGAGAUCAAGACCAUCCUGGCCAACAUGGUGAAACCUCAUCUCUACUAAAAAUACAAAAAUUAGCUGGGUGUGGUGGUGCGCACUUAUAAUCCCAGCUACUAGGGUAGCUGAGGCAGGAGAAUCACUUGAACCUGGGAGGCAGAGGCUGCAGUGAGCUUAGAUUGCACCACUGCACUCCAGCCUGGCGACAGAGCAAGACUUCAUCUCAAAAAAAAAAAAAAAAAAGUAUAAAAACCUCAACAAUUAUAAUUUAUCUGAUCUUAUUAUGUAAAGGGGCUCUUGAGAACAGCAAGUUUAUCUCAAUAUGGUAUAUUCAGAAUAGUCAAAUAUAGUUUUUUGUUUGUUUUUGAGACACAGUCUCACUGUUGCCCAGGCUAUAGUGUGGUGGUGCAUUCCUCAGCCUCCUGAGUAGCUAGGGCUUCAGACACGUGCCCCCAUGCCCAGCUGAUUUUUCAAUUUUAUAUAGAGAUGAGGUCUCCCUGUGUUGCCAAGGCUGGUCUCAAAUUUCUGGGCUCAAGGGAUCCUCCUGCCUCAGCCCCCCAAAGUGCUGGGAUUGCAGGCGUGAGCCACAAAACCCAGCCACCGCCCUGGUCUUUCAAAGCACUGGGAUUACAGGUGAGCCUUAAUUUAGAGAUAGUAUUUCCCUUCAGAGCAGAUAUCAGACUUGUUUACUUUCCUGUAUAAUAAAGUUAAUGUCUCCCUCCAGAGCAAAGACCUUGCAGGUUUAAAAGUUGUCAUUCAGAACUAAGGGGAGUUCCGUGGCGCCUCUGGCCUGGCCUCCCCUUUCUUGUCUGACUCGAGACACCAACUGAGUUCCUGUUUCUAGUAGCUAAGCUCCCACCGUCGGGGAGGAAUCAGGGACUGUGCAGUCCCUGUGAAUCCCAUCCAGGUCAGUUCUAGAUUCUAAACUGAAUUUUUUUCAUGAUAUUGUCAAAACAGUGAGGAAACGUUUUGUAAAGAAGCCCUAAAGAAAAAAAAAGUCAUUGAGCCUUCCUAAACAAUUUUCUCUUAAUAUAUGUAUUCUAAGACUUUUUAAUGUAUAUACUAUAUUAGAAAUCCAAUUCUCUUGUAGAUGUCUCUUUUUUUUAAUAAAAACUUUUUUUUUUUCACAUUUUCCUGCCUCUAUCUAGUAUGUGGAACUUAACUGAACUUAGAAGGGACUUCAGAACUAUUUAUUUAUUUAUUUAUUGAGACAGAGUUUUGCUCUUGUUGCUCAGGCUGGAGUGCAAUGGCUCAAUCUCAGCUCACCGCAACCUCUGCCUCCCGGGUUCAAGCGAUUCUCCUGAGUAGCUGGGAUUACAGGCAAGCAUCACCACGCCCGGUUAAUUUUUUGUAUUUUUAGUAGAGACAGGGUUUCUCCAUGUUGGUCAGGCUGGUCUCGAACUCCUGACCUCAGGUGAUCUGCCUGCCUCGGCCUCCCAAAGUGCUGGGAUUACAGGCACAAGCCACCACACCCAGCCCUGUAGAUUUCUCAUUGAGGGCACAAACAUUUAUUUCCAUCUCCUGUGUAACUAUUCAUAAACUUAAAGAUGAUUACUAAAGCAACUUUCACCUUCCUCAGGUUAAAUAAGCAAUGUGCCUUUAAACUUUCCACAUAAAUUCUGUUUUCUAAUUUUUGUUGUUGUUGUUGUUGCUAUUUUGUGUUUUCUAAUUUUUAAUCCUUUGGUUAAUCAUGCCUCUGGAUUUUUUCCCAUUUUCUUCAUCUCUUGAAUUUAGAGCCCAGGAUCUGAUACAAUACCCUAGUAAAGGGUUAAUUCCUAUUGCAUAGAUUUUCGAUACCUGCCACAGACUUGAGGGCAGGUUGAGGGCAGAUACUGUUUUAUACUUUUCUAGUAUCAGUAACUUUCUAGCAUAUGUAGGUGCUCAGUAAAUUCUUACUGAUUGAUUGGUGUAUCCCAGAAUUGUUUUUGAGUUGUAAAUCACAGUACCACUUUGCUGAUUCAUGUUUAAUGUUUGCUUCACUAUAAAAAUUGUUUGUAAAGUAAAAAACAGCAAGGAACUCUACAAGUGGUGAACAAUGGCUAUAAAUCAUAGAACCAUCUUUGUUUUUGUGAAAAGUAUUCUUACUUCAAUUAGCAGUCUUUCUAUUCCCGACCACCUAUCCCAAAGGAAUCAUCAUCAAUAAUGCCAUCUCUGCAUACAAAAGAUAUUCUUUAAUUACGAUGCUUAGCUGAGUUAGCAUUUUUACUUUUUUUCCUUUUUCUAUUCUUUUUUUUUUUUUUUUUUUUUUUUUUUUUUUUUUUUUUUUGAGACGGAGUCUCGCUCUGUCUCCCAGGCUGGAGUGCAGUGGCGCGAUCUCUGCUCGCUGCAAGCUCCGCCUCCCGGGUUCACGCCAUUCUCCUGCCUCAGCCUCCCGAGUAGCUGGGACUACCGGCACCCGCCACCACGCCCAGCUAAUUUUUUUUUAAUUUUUAGUAGAAACAGGGUUUCUCCGUGUUAGCCAGGAUGGUCUCGAUCUCUUGACCUCGUGAUCCGCCCACCUCGGCCUCCCAAAGUGCUAGGAUUACAGGCGUGAGCCACCGUGCCCGGCCUAUUCUUUUUUUUUUUUUUUUUUUUUUUUUUUAGUAGCACUUGUUGUUGAAGCAUUUUUACUUUUUGUAUUUCCUUCUUUCUGAGUUACUGUGGUAGGCUGCAUCUAAAAUGACUCCUAAGCACCGUACCUUCUGGUUUUCACAUCCUUGUGUAAUUUCCUCCUCUUGUGCUUGGGCCGGACCUAAUGACCUCUUUCAAAAGAAUAGAAUAUGGCAAAGUGACAGAAUGUCACAUCUGAGAUUAGGUUACAAAAGACUGUGACUUUCAUCUUCCUCUCUCUCUUGCGCUCUCACUUGCUCAUUCCAAUGUAGGAAAUUGCCAUGUUGCAAUUUCCAAAGGAUAGGUCACAAUCCAAAGGAUAGGUCCAUAUGGCAGAAAAACGGAGGGUAGCCUCUAGUCAACAGCCAGUGAGGAACGGAGGCCCUGAGUGCAACACCCUGAUAGGGACUAAGUCCUACCAACAUCAACACCUAGUCAAGCCUUAAGAUGACUGCAGCACCCGCUCAACACCUUUUAUACAGCCUUAUGAGAAACCCAGAGCCAAGAGACCCAACUAAGCUUUGCCUAGCUUCCUUACUCAUAGACUCUGUAAGAAAAUAAUUGUUUAUUGCUUUAAGGCACCAAGUUUGGGGGUAAUUUUUCAUACAGCAAGAGAUAACUAAUAUAGAUUCUGUUUGAUAAAUAUUAACUUACACCUAACUCAGAUUUCACUCAAAGAAAUUAAUAUGCAUGUGAGAAGAUAUAUUCUUUACCCAGCCACGGGAGGUAUUGCCUAGGAAAAACUUAGAUAGUUGCCAACCGAUUGUAUCAUAAUCUCACUUCUGAGUUUAGAAAUUAAUAUUAAAGGACUGUAGUUUCCAGUCAGACUUUUCCAUUUAAAAACCAUGAGCUUCUAUUUUUACAAGUCAUAGGUACUUAAUUAGUUCUCCACUAUUCUGUAAAAUAAUACACUCCUAGUUCUGUGAUAACUCUGGUCAAUUCUAGAAAUAAGUAUUCGUUAGUACAAAUUACCAGAGCCUGUGGAUUUGAAUGUAUCAAUCUGUUUUAUUAAGCAGGCCCCAUUUUGUGAAACUCAGCUGGAAAACGACAGUCAACCUGACAAUUCUCAUAGAUAGUUAAUUUAAGAAAUUCUUCUUCUUCUUCUUCUUUUUUUUUUUUUUUUUUUUUGAUAGAGGGUCUUACUCUAUUGCCCAGGCUGGAGUGCAGCGGCACAAUCAUGUCUCACUGCAGCCUCAGCCUCCGGAAUAGCUGGGACUGCAGGUGCACACCACGAUGCCCAGCUAAUUUUUUUUUUUUUUUUUUUUUUUGAGACGGAGUGUCGCUCUGUCGCCCAGAGUGGAGUACAGUGGCUCCAUCUCGGUUCACUGCAAGCUCCACCCGCUGGGCUCACGCCAUUCUCCUGCCUCAGCCUCCCGAGUAGCUGGGAAUACAGGCGCCUGCCACUACGCCCAGCUAAUUUUUGUAUAUUUAGUAGAGACGGGGUUUCACCGUGUUAGCCAGGAUGGUCUCGAUCUCCUGACCUCGUGAUCCACCUGCCUCGGCCU
rnacentral:lncRNA from 1 species